rnacentral:lncRNA from 1 species
AUGCCACCGAAGGCCCAAGCAAUGCCAAGAAUGCCAACCCCACCACAGAGAUCACCCCCAGCCUUGGCAUCACUCUGGCUCUUGUAGCCAAUGACAGUGAGCACUGUGAUGUAAAGGAAGAGCAGUGUGGCAAUGAACUCAGCAAUCAAGGCCCUGUAGAAGGACCACUGUGUGAGUUCCUGAGCAUCAAUCAAGGGUGCUGGAGGAGGGUCAUGGUAGUCCUUUGCAGAGAAGGAACCACCCUCAACAUCAUGCUUAGCCAUUGCAAUUUGCAACCACCCUUUUGACACUGAUGAAGAAAAGAACCUGAAAGAGAGGCUUUGAGAAAAAGAAACAAGGUUGUGUUUGAUUAGUGUGAGAUGAGAAGGGGUAUAUAUUGAGGUGAUGGAGUGAUGCUAGAGCAUUUGAUUAGAGCAAUUCUACACUGAAAAACAAAACCAAAUAAUAAUAAUAAUAAUAGCAAUAAACUUCUUGGUUUCGGUUUCACUUUCACCGACCUUGUCCCCACCGUCACUACGCCACCCCCACCACCUCCCUACCAUUCAUUUGUAACUUUGUGUUUCUGUGUUUCUUUUGUCAUUUUGUUCUCUCUGUAUUGAACAUAUCACACUUCACUAGUUUAAGAUUGCAAAGGUUCAGUUUUCUUCUUCAUCUUCCAAGUUCACCAACUUAACCUUUAAAUCAUUUUUUGCUUUUAUUGUGAGACACAAGAAAUAAUUAUCUUUCAAAAUAAGGGUAAAACAUUUAGUGGUCCUUACAUAUGUUUCCAAAAGGAUUUCAUAUUAUUUUUAUAUUUUAAUAAAUUAAAAAUAUUUUGUAAGUCUUUGUUCUUAAUAGGAUAGACUGACUGAUGCAUAUGAUUGUAAGAUGUGAAUUCUUAAUUAAAAGUGAUUUUUGUUGGAUAUAUAAUUAAUAUUAUGUUACAACUACUAUAUACAUAAGUUUUUCUUUUAUUAUUAGUAUUAAAUAUAAAAAAUAAAAAUAUGUUUUAAUUUAAGAAAAAUCCAAAAGCUAUGUUUAAGUUUAGAGAGAGGAAAAUAAUACAAUAUUUUUUUGGAAACAUAUUUAAUAUAUUUUAAGAAUUUUAAAAGAGGCAAAAACUUAUUUUAUCAUUGAAAACAAUAUUCACGUGUUUAAAUAUAUUUUGAGUGAAAAUAGGAAUUAAUAAAUAUUAUUUUUUCCUUAUAAUUAGUAAUUAAAAAUCUUUAAUAAUAUUUAAAAAAUUUGAAAUCUCACUUCACUAUGUCAUAGUCCACAUCCACACUCCAUACACGAAGUCAACACUCAAUACGGAUUCAUUACUUCAGACGAUUCGACGUUAAAUCUAGUAAGAACAUAUUUUGUUUUAUUAAUAUAGGAUUUUGUUUAUUUUAUGAUAUAGUUUUUUUUGUAAAUCUCACAUUCAAUACUAGUUGAUAACUUAUGAUUUAUAAGAUGUAAGAUUUCAUGUAAUUUAUCAAAUUUGUUUAUUGACUAGCCUAAUGAAAUACUUGAGCUAAUAGCAUUGUAUAAAUAUUUAUUGUUUUAUUAGUCACUCAAAUAUACAUAUAUUGUUCUUAUGGAUAAAAUUUAUAAAAAGAAAGAAAUAAAUUUAAAAUAAAAUACUAUAAAAAUGAUAUUUUCAAAUUCUUAAUGAUAUAAAGUAUAAAAUAGCUUCAAGAUAAUUAUUCAAAACAAAACAAAAAAUAUAUUUUUGUCUCAAUGUCUACUUAAUCAAAUCAUUUCAUAGAAUAAGGAUAACAUAAGUUUAAGUUUAAUUAUUUCUAACUAGUUCUCAGGGAAAUUUAUCAAAAUGGUGUAGUUUCUUUUGAGAUUUACGUAAAUGGGCAAAUUCAGAAAAAAUUACAGGAAUGAGCAUUUUUUUGUCAAAGUUGUCAAUGGUGUAGGUAACAUAAAUUAAAUUCAUUAAUCCGACAACUUCAGUUUAAAUAAAAUUGAAUAUAGGAUUGACAACUUUAGUGGAUUUUAUCUCAAUUAAAGUUGUUAAUUCAAUUGGCAAAUUCACUUAAUUUUAUUUUUAGGGUUUAAACAAAUGAUAAUUAAUAUUUUAAAAAUAAAAAUAUAUAAUUAAAAAAUUAUUUUAUAAAUAAUACCAAAAUUUAAUUUUUUAUUUAUUUAAGAAAAUGAUAUAUAAAGUUGAAUAAUUAAAAUGAAUAUUUUUUAUAAUAAUUUUAAAUAAAUUGGGUUAAAAAUAUUUGUUUGAUAAAUUAAAAAUAUUUAGUAUUUUAUAAAUAUUGUUAAAGUUAAAAAUACACUUAUAAAAAUGUGAUAUAAUUUAUGUAUAAAUUUUUAGAUUAUAUAAUAUAUGAAAGUAUAAAUUAUAUAAUAUGUAAAAAGUAAUAAUAUACAUGUAUUUAUGUAAAAUAAAUGUAUUAAAAAUAAGUUAAAUUAUUGAAUAUAUGUCAUUAAAAGAAGAUGAUAUUAAAAUAUUUGAUGAGAACAACAUUACAAAGGCUGACUCUACUGUCUAAAUGGACAAUUUCCUCUGUUGUGACCUUCAUUGCGACAGUAAGAAUAUUUUUUGUCUUGUUCUGAAUUGAUUGAUCCAUUUCAUUAUGCAAACGAGUUGUAAUUGGUCGUCCCGAGUUUUUACGUCGCAUGUGGGGUUCUGGUAUGAAAUUUGGCCAUGUAUAAGUAGACCAAUAAUUCUCGUUCCGAACAGAAUGGAAUUCAACUUGAUAUGCCUUUCUAAUCGUGUGGAGGUUGUAAAUUGGAAUAAUGAAUGUCGUCAUUUGUAAAUGACAAGAGGAACAAACGAUAAUAACAUGACGACAGGGAAGUCGAAGAGCUUGGAAGUGGCCACAAUCACACCACCAAUCAUUUAAUCUAAAUGUAUAUGAUUGAGGUCGCCGACCAUGUUGGGGGUGGCUAAUUCUUGGACAUCAAAUUCAGAAUUUUCUGCAUUAAACCUUUCCACAAAACACAUAGCCGAAUCUUGUUGAUUUUUUCUAAGUAAGGUUGUGAUAUCUUCUGAAUAAUAAUGACCUGCGCGUAACAUGGUGUCUAUUUUGAAGACUCGUUCAACAAACCAUGUUUUUGUUUUUUCGAAAGUUGCCUUAACCAAAGCGGAAAUCGGCAAGGAACGAGCUCCCUUAAUCACGAAGUUAAUGCAUUCCGCUAGAUUUGUGGUCAUAUGAUCAUACAUCUUUCCCCCAUCAUAUGCUUGAGUCCAUUUCUCUAAUGGUAUGCGAUCUAUCCAGGAAAAUGCUUGCUUGAACUCAUAUCGCAUAACUGGUUAUUUUGCCUGUUGUUGUUUCAUCUCAUAAGUUGCCAUAAAGAAUGAAAUUAGUUAAAUGGUAAAAUGUCGUAAUUAUCUGUGAAAGAAGGUAAGGAAUGUCAUUAUCCAUGUUAAUCAACUGUCGUUUGAGCUCAUCAUUUUUGAAUUUUUUGUUGAAAUUCGAUGCAAUAUGGUGUAUGCAAUACACAGAAACAAGGUUGUCUCCUUCCCAUCCAACUUUUUCGGAUUGUAAUGCUGAAAUUAUACAGGUUCCUCUAUCAGUAAUCAUGCACAAAUUCGGCUGAGGUGUAACAUAUUGUCGCAAUAAUUGGAAGAACCAAAUUAAAGCCUCCCGAGUCUCGCAUUCAACAAUCACAAACGCCAAUGGAAAUAUGUUUCGAUUCCCAUCUUGAGCGGUUGCGGUCAACAAUGUUCCACGGUAUCUUCCGGUUAGAAAUGUCCCAUCAACUUGUACAAUGAGCUUGCAAAAAUUGAAAUCAUUGAUACAAGGCUUGAAAGACCAAAACACGCGAUCCAAUGUGUAACAAGAAUUGUCUUGAACACCAUCAACCAUACAAGGAGAAGCAAUAUACUGCACAAUUGUCCCCAAAUUGCUUUCUUUUACUGCUUCCAACCAUCUAGGAAGAUCAUUGUAGGACUGUUCCCAGUUGCCAAAUGCCAAAGCAAGAGCUUUCUGUUUUCCCAACCAAGCUUUUCUAUACGUGAUAGUAUAGCAAUACAAAUUUUUUAUUUCUGCAAUUAAGCUUUUAAUUGGGACGGAAGGGUUUGCUUUUACUGAAGUCAACACCAUGGAUGCAAUAUGGGUUGAAUCCAAAUUAACAUGGUCUGCCGUAAGAUUUGUUGACAAAAAACUAUUUUGUGCAUCAAUUUUUUUUAUCUCCCAUUGAUUUCGGAUUUUACUAAAAGAUGCACGUAAUCUCCAUUCGCACCCUCCAUCAUGAUGUAUGCACCGAGCCACAUAUCUGUCUCACUUUGAUUCCACGGCAACAAAUUUGUAACCAUUGUCUAUGUGGUAUCGUUUUAUGGCAUUCAAUGUCGCCUCCUUUUGAUGGAGGAAGGCCCAAGCUCACCACAAUAUGAAAGCCAAGCUUCCAAGACCAAGACCGUCUAGCCUUCCAAAAGGAGCGUCUAGCCUCACAAGGAGCGUCUAGCCUCACAAAGGGAGCGUCUAGCCAUGAUGAGGAGCGUCUAGGCCAAGGCUACAUGAGGAGCAUCUAUGAAGAGUCCUAGACCGUCUAGCUUCACCCACACAAGGGCCAAAGCUACGGUUUGGGAGAGAAGAGGCUUUGUUGCAUAAAAGGCCCAUUAGGGGUACUUAGUAAGAUAGGUAGUGUAGAAAGAACUUUGUGAAGGAAACCUUCUAGAACCUAGGGUUGUGUGGCCGGUCAUUGCAUGGCACAUGGCUUAGAAUUUAGAUUUAAUUUUGGUUUUCUUUUCCUUAGAAAUGUAGCUUAACAUUUAAGCCCAAAUAGCCUAUAAAUAGGAAGGCUAUCUCUUUGUAUUGGACAAGUUUAUUUGAGUAUUGUUAUGCUGCCCAUUUUGUGCACUAGCUAUACUUCUCCUAGAAAUCUAGGCUAUAAACUUCACUCCCUUCACCUUUCUUCAUAGAGCUGGCCGAACCUCUCUAAUUCAUACUCAUCAUGCACCUUCAAAGCCAUCACAACUCCUAGAAGGGCUUUGUUUCACUCACCCAUUGCUUCCGCAUCCAUUUUUACUACUUUGAUUCAAGAAGAACACAUGAAAUGCCAUCAUUUGGUAUCAUGAGCUUUUGGUUCUUCAAGAUGAGUAGCUUGUCUUUUUAAUUUCAGUUCUUCUUUAUUUCAUCUUUGUCAUUUCAAUUCCUUACUUGUCUUGCUGUUUUUAUAUUUGAAUUUGUUCUUGGUGUGCUUUGUGGAAGAUCCAACCCAAGCACUCUUGUUCAUUUGAUCNNNNNNNNNNNNNNNNNNNNNNNNNNNNNNNNNNNNNNNNNNNNNNNNNNNNNNNNNNNNNNNNNNNNNNNNNNNNNNNNNNNNNNNNNNNNNNNNNNNNNNNNNNNNNNNNNNNNNNNNNNNNNNGAAUUUUCUUGUAUCCAAAUUUCAGAAACAAAUUUUACAAUUACAGCUCAGCAUAAAUCGGGGAACAAAACUGUUUUCUGGCCCACAACAUUUUCCAGUGGUGCUGUUUUUUUUAUUUGGUCAUCUAAUCUAGUGCUUUUCUUUAGGAAUUCCUUUUGUGUGCCAACUUUUAUUGAGUACCUUUAAUUGUUUGCUUUAAUUUCUUGAAUCUCUUUCUAAGUUGUCAUAUUAUAAAUCCUUUUGGUGGUACUGUUUUCUUUCAAUUAAAUUUGUUUCUUGCUUUUAUUUCUUGACCUCUCAUUUUGGGUGCUGGAAUUUAAUUCUCUCUUGGUGCUUAUGUGCAUGGAAAUUGACUUGGCUUAAGGUUAAACCCUUGUGAAUAGGUGCUGGAAAUUGGAGAAUUAAAGCCAACUUUCUAAGGAGGAGUCAAGCUAAGGCCGAAACAAGCUUCUUGAAACAAACACUACAAACACCUAGAAGAUCAACAAUCAAGACAACAAAGAAAGUGCACUAAUCAAAAAGAGGAACAACAAAGGGGGUUUUCUUAUCUCCUUUACAACUUGGUUUAUUGUUAAUUACCUCUUUUAAAUUACGUUUUAGACGGUGAGUGUGUCUUCAAGGGCUCAAAGUGUCCAAGAAGCCUCACCUAGGGCCGAAUAGCAUAGUAAUUUUGCUUAGUAAAUUGUUGCUUGUUUGAACUUGUUUUUCUUUUGUUUUGGUAGAAACGUUUUGCAUGCUUAGUAUUGUUUAAUUUGUGUGCUAAACCGACUAGCUUUGUUGAUUAGUUAGCAUACAUUUGUUUUCUUGCAUUGAAAAAAAAAAAAAAGUUUUGAUUUCUCAACUUAAUUGUGUUCUAAGUAGUUUACUAAGAGGAAGUUUUGUGUGAAGACAUUGAGGGAUAGUUUUUGGCUAAGGCAAAGGCUUGGUACUUAAGUAGUCCUUUGUGACUCACCUCCCUUACCUGGAAGACUACCUUCUUUGACUUCCCUAAAUUUUUCUCAAGGUAAAAUACUUCUACACACAAAGUUUUAGUCAUGUUUUCUCACUCCUCUAAAUCUCUUAAAAGUGAGUUGAAAUCCUUGAAAUCUAUUUUGAAACAACUUACUAAGGAUAUUCAAUCAAUUUCAUCUAAACAAUUGGAGAAUGAGAUCAAAACUAAUGAAUUGACUAAAGCAAAGAAUGAGAAGUCUCCAUUUUCAAAAAAAUUACAUUCUCAUGCAUCUAGCUCUAAACAUCAUGAUUAUCUUGGGGAAGAAAGUCUUAGGAAAAAUGAAUAUCAUCAACAAUUCCCUAGGAGAGCUAGGAAAGAGAGACAAGAAAACCUAACCAAGCAUAUCUCUCACACUCAAGCUAGAGAAAUUCCAUGUUUAGAAUACCUUGGCAAUGAUCAAUUAGCAUCUCAAUGUUUCAAUGAAAGAUCUAUGAUCUUAAGGGACAAAGAUGAGAAUAGUAGCCAAGAAAAAGAAGCUAGUGAGAGUGAAGAAAAUGUAAAAAUAGAAAAGCAAGAGAAAACCCUUGGAAAACAAAAGGCGUGGGAGAAGAGUGUUCCUUCCCACAAGGUCAUUCAACAAGAAGGAAAAGUUGAAAAUACAUUUAAAAAUAUACCUCUUGUUGAACAACCUAGCCUUACCUUUUGUAAAGGAACACUUGCAAGCCUAGAAAAAAAAGAAGAAUCCUUAAAAAAGGCUUGCAUAGAUAAAAAUAUAGUAGAUUAUUUUACAUACAUGCCAAGAUAUCACCAAGUGAAGGUCAAGUCAUCUAUAGGCAUCUACAAAGACAAUUUUUUAUGUGAAGUAGUGCCUAAAGAAACUUGUCAUGUCUUAUUGAGACAACCUUUGCAAAGAAUUGAAAUUUCCAUGAACAAAGGUUGUAUCAACGAGACUACCUUCANNNNNNNNNNNNNNNNNNNNNNNNNNNNNNNNNNNNNNNNNNNNNNNNNNNNNNNNNNNNNNNNNNNNNNNNNNNNNNNNNNNNNNNNNNNNNNNNNNNNAAAUCUAGGCUAUAAACUUCACUCCCUUCACCUUUCUUCAUAGAGCUGGCCGAACCUCUCUAAUUCAUACUCAUCAUGCACCUUCAAAGCCAUCACAACUCCUAGGAGGGCUUUGUUUCACUCACCCAUUGCUUCCGCAUCCAUUUUUACUACUUUGAUUCAAGAAGAACACAUGAAAUGCCAUCACCUUUGACAUGAAAGACAUGUGUUCAUUGAGGUCGCAGUCAAUGUUAUGUCCGGAUUGACUGCCAGACGGAAUAUAUUGUGAAGAUCUAUUGAACUGAUCUUCAUCAUCCAAAUCAAAGUCGUAGUUAUCUCCAUCUUCAGUUAUGUCGUCCACGAUGUCUCUAAUUAUUGGUUCUUCAUGCCGGCUUAGUGAUGUUCCACUGACAUUCCACGUGCCCAUCUGCAUUUUUAAAAAACAUGAUAAAGAAGAAUGUUACGGAAAAUUUACAUUACCUUUACAACUUUCUUUGAACUUUAUACUAGAAGGAGAAAAUAAUAUAUCUCACAAACCUUGUUCUCAAUUGUUUUUUUACUUGGAUGCAGGAAUUAAGACAAGAAAAAAUGUAGAACAAAGAAGGAGUGCAAGGCUACAGAGCUGCAUUGUUAUUCCAUUAUAUAACAAAUGUUCUUUUUUAGUACAAUAUAAUUUUAACAUACUUUUUGAAAUUUUUGUUCAUAAGUCAAGUCCUCAGGUACUUGUGUGACAGAAAGCCAUCACUCCAUGCUACACUUUGUUUAUUUAUUUUUUCCAAUUUCAUAACAAAGAAGUUGACUUCACUAUUGACAACUUUGGAAGAAGUUGCAUUCACCAUUGGCAACUUUAGAAGAAGUUGCAUUCACCAUAACUUAUAUUGAAAGUUGCCUUCAUGGUUGACAACUUUGCAUAGACACUAAAUGAAAAAAGUUCACACACCAUUGGCAACUUCAAUUGCAAUUUCGUGCAUCACCAAGCAAUGCUUUAUUUUCUCUCCAGUUUUACGUUCACAUGGCUAUAGUUUUCAUGGCAGAGAUUCUUUUUUCAUGGCAAAGAUUCUUUUUGGAAAUGAAGUUUGAAUUCAAACUUUCAUUUAUUCAAACUCACAAGCAACUAUAUUUAAUAGAGUCUGUCUCCUAUGCAAAACACUCUCCAGCUUUGCCAUUGUUCCAAAGUGCUUAAGGUGGCAUUCAAUCACAAAGGUAAGUUCUCUCUAAUAUUUUAAUUAUUUAAUUAAUAGUAGUAACAAACACAUGCUAAUAAAGAUUAUCAGUAUAUUUUAGCUCUCAUAAAUUGUUUUUGUAUUUUCUGUGGAUGGAUUUGUAUGUAUUUUUGUAUUACAUGGUGACAUUACUCAUGAACCCUUCUUCAUUCCAGAAGAAAAUUAUAUAUUGGUUUUGACUAAAAUUUAGUUCUAUAUAUAUAAGGGGGAAUUACAUGUAAAAGAAUUUAGUUAUAAUAAUUUAGUUCUAAUGUACUAAUAUUUUUAAAUUUGUAAACAAAGUUAACUACUUAAAAUCUGUUUUAAAAACAUUAACAAAAUUCAACUAAUAUUUUUUAUUUUCAUACAAUGUCUUCCAUUAUAGCUGAUGAUUAAGUUUAAAGAAUAGAGAAUGAGUAUGAGUAUUUUAUAAAUAGUAAGGAGUAGAAUUAGAAUCUCUGACGAUGGAACAGAGACAAACAUAAAUAAUGAAUUGUUCUCCAUUUAAUGGGAUAUAGGCAAUGGGCAGAAGAGACCUAGUUCUUGACCUAACACAGAAAAGGCCAAAGUGUAAGGUGGUCACAUAUUAUCCAUGCAGAAACUUUAAUUUUGAAUAUUAAAAUGAAUAUAGUUGAAUGAAUGAUAUCAGAAAAGACACACAUGUAAUAUAUGUUAUAUUUUAAUACUUUUAUUUGAAUACUUCUAUUUUAAUACUUAUAUUUUGUUAAAGGAAUUUAAAAAUGAUAGUUUAAAACAUGAAAUUUAAUCAGUAUCAACUUAUAAAAAAGGCAAGUUAAUAUAAUUAAUUGAUAUCAAAUCCCUCUGUCAAUUUUUUUCUCCUUCGGGCCUGUAAUGGAAAAAAACCGUCUAACAAUUCAAACAUUGACUAACAAUUGUAAAAAGAUAUUUUUAUUUUAUUUUUCUUAUAUUUUUAUUGUUCGUACAUAAUUUAUUACUUUCAGUAAAUUUUUUUAUAAUAUGUUAUAUUCAGUACUCUUUAAUUAGUAUAAGUAAAUAUCUUUUUCUUAUCUUUAAUUAGAAUUUUAUGGCAUCUCAUCGUCUUCCCGCGAAUAUGUUUGUAUUGCGACUCCAAGAGAAACAUGUUACUAAAUAUGUAUGGGAAGGUAAUGAAAGACUAUUGAGACCCAGAAGACAUGCAAGUUGGGUACUAAAGCAUGAGGAUAUACUUGACCAACGAGUCAAACAGUUAAUUGAUCAUUCUGGUUUUGGACAUUUGUUAAAAUUUAAGCACAUUGACUUCAACCACGUACUAAUUACAACAUUAGUGGAAAGAUGGAGAAUAGAGACUCAUACCUUUCACUUUCCUCUCGGUGAAACAACUAUUACUUUGGAAGAUGUGGAAUUAAUAUUAGGUUUACCUAUUGAUGGGCAGGUUGUCACCGGGAUUACUAGUGGUGAUUUAGUAUCUUUCUAUGAGCAGCUGCUCGGAUUUAUACCACCCUCAACAACGGUAAAAGGAAAUGCAAUUAAGUUGUCUUGGCUUAACAACACUUUUCAGGAACUGCCACAUAAUGCAACCGAUGAUGUUAUUGCUCAACAUGCUCGAGCCCACAUAUUAACACUUAUUGGGAGUUUAUUGAUGCCUGAUUCUUCAGGUAGUAAGGUACAUUUAAUGUAUCUAUUAUUGUUGGCUGACUUGAACAACGUCAAGAAUUAUAGUUGGGGGUCAGUUGUAUUGGCUUCUCUGUAUCAUGCGCUCGAUCAAAAAUAGAAUUUAAUCAAAAUAAUAUUGGAGGUUGCACGCUGCUUUUACAGUGUUGGGCAUGGGAACGCCUAACAUGCAUUUCUCCACAACUUCAACCAUUGACCGAUGAAGAAGUUCAACAAGGAGUUGGUUUCCCACUCGGGAAAAGGUAUGCUAUUUUUGUAUUAAUUUUCAAGAUAAGAAAACAAAGUUCUUAAUAUUCCUUUGCUUACGUUAGGUGGACUCGGAGGAUGCAUAGGACGCACAUAGGAGAAACCACUGUUCCACAAAUAUGAGCAAUGUUUGAUGGCAUUAAAGCUAAAGAGAUUGUGACCAAUAUAUAAACUGACAUAUCAUUUUAACUGAAUAUUUCAUAUUACUGAUGUUUCAAACAUUUAUUUACAGUUUCUUUGGACUCCAUAUCAAGUGGAUUAUGUUAGGCGCUUGAUCACUAUUGAGGUUUCCCCAACUGCACGGGUUGUAGUUCCUCUCAUAUGUUUUGCAACUGUUGAAUUUCAUCAGGUUGAUAGGGUUAUGCGUCAAUUUGGAUUUCGACAAAGUAUUCCAAGUGACCCAUUCAACCUUGAUCAACUUCAUAAAGAGGAUAUGAGAGGACGAACUGAUCGAUACUGGCCACAAUAUCAUUCGCAUGGAUAGCUAUGUGGAAUGACUGUCAUAAUCAUCUAAUUCACGAAAAUCAGUUUAACAGAAAUGGCCAUUUGCAUGACAACUCAACAUACAUGCAAUGGUACAUCAACCAUACUAUUCGCUACAUCACGCCUAUACAGUCAUCGUCCGAUGACGACGUAAGUUCAAUUACAAAAUUAUUUAUUAUUCUUCAUUCACUCAUCCAAAAUUAACACAUAUUUUCAAAACAGUAUGAUAUGCCACAAGAGACUACACAACCUCACUAUCAACAUGAUGUCGGGUCUUCUUCUCUAGUUCAAUCAUUUGAACAACAAUCUUUUCGUCCACCAGGUGUUCAACCGACUCAGUUGUUCGGAUAUAGGGAUCAAUCUUGUUGAACCAAGUGGUGUUCAAGCUUUGAAGAAUCCAAACCCUUUGAAGGAUGUUGAAGCCUUGGCUGUGCUGGUUUAGCUUAGUUCUGGGGUAGUUUGAAUGUUGUAAUCCACCCUUUGUUUAAAUCUAAAGCAUAGGCAUUCUCAAUCUUUGUGAAAGUAAAAUGUUUUCAAACUAAGUUAAAACAAUCGAUUGUUUUGUCGAAACAACUGAUUGUUUAUACUUAGGUGUUUUGAGAAAAAGAUUGAAAAUUGUUUUUAAAAUGGUUGAACUGUUAAGAACCAAAACAACCGAUUGAUUCGAGGAAACAACCGAUUGUUUGUUUUGGGACCAUAACAGAAAAACUGUUUUAUCUUUGACUGAGCUUUAAAUGUUUUAACUGCUUACGCUCCAGUCAUUAAAUGUUUUGACCAAUCNNNNNNNNNNNNNNNNNNNNNNNNNNNNNNNNNNNNNNNNNNNNNNNNNNNNNNNNNNNNNNNNNNNNNNNNNNNNNNNNNNNNNNNNNNNNNNNNNNNNUAAUGCAAUUUAAGAGUUUGUUAAGAUUUGAUAACAAAUUACAUCUUUGAAUAAAUUCAGAAAAACAGAUUUGACAAUUAAUCUUUGACAAGUUUUUGCUAAGAGUUUUUGAGUUUUUCAAAGAGCUGAGAUUGCUAAGAGUUUGUGAUUGAUCAAAGUUUGUGGAAUAGGAUUCUGCUUGUAUUGAUUUCAGAUUAUCUUCUGUAACAACUGUAAUCCUUGUACUCUGUGAAACAAGUUUCGUUUUUGUGUUUGCUAAGAUUGGUUGUGUGUUCUUGAGGGGAUCAAGAUCAACAAUCUUGGUGUAGGUGUGUUGACCAAGGAGAGUGUGUUUCUUGAGGUGUUCAAGGUCAUUCUCUUGGUUGUUGUGUAAGUGAUCAAGGUGUGAUUGCUUAGUGGAUUUCCUCAGGGUUUCUGAGAAGACUGGAUGUAGCUCUGGAUUUGGAGUGAACCAGUAUAAACAUCUGUGUACAAUCUCUCUAUCUCUAACUCUUUAAAUUCAGUUUUAUUUGUUGUUUGCUGGUAUAAACAACCGAUUGUUUCUGUGAAACAACCGAUUGUUUUUCUGGUUGUGAUGUUUUUGUUUGCUGUUUUUGGUCAACUGAAUUUCUUAUCAAUAGUUUCCCGAGAUAAAUUCAUUCUUGUUUUAAAAGUUUACGAAAAUUCUCUUUAAACAAUUCAUCCCCCCCCCCCUCUAGUUUAAAGCCAUCCAUUCUAACAAAUCUCACAUGUCAUUCCAAUCAUCAUUCCAUCAACCACCUUUCAACUACUCAACAUUUCCAUCUCAACAACAAUUUUUUGUUGGCCUGUCAAAUCCCUUUGCAACCUCUACCAUGACUCCCCCAUCUGCCUACAAUCCAAUGUCAUUUAUGCAGUAUUAUCGACCAACAAUGCCUUCACAAGUUUCUGCAAAUCAUAGUGAUGAUAAUGAAAUUGAAGGCACUGACGAUGACAUUCCACCUCCGCCCCCUCCUACCCUUCCAUCCAAACAACAGCCACAAGGACAACCAUGAAGACAACGAAGAAGACCGCCAUGUGGCACAACUCCUCAUAGAUGACAACUUUUCAUAUUUCUAUUUUCUAAUCAUGUAUAAUAUCAUUUUAUAAAUAUUGUUUAAACGCUACCCUUUUUAUUUAUAAUUGUAUCAACUAUAAACGUUAUUUCACGAACAUAAUUUCAAUUUUUUAAAAACAACAAAAAUAUUUUUAAUUUUAAUAAUAUUUAAAAAGUACUAAAUAUUUUACAUUUAUUACACAAUCUAUUUUAAAUCUAACUUAAUUUUAGGUAACUUUAUUUCUUGUGAAAACAAAAUUUAGUUUAAUUUUUUAAUAUUAAUUAUCUAUAAAAAUACAAAUUUUCUCAAUAUUCUUAUUCUUAUUCACUUCAUGUAAUUUUAAAUAAUUUUAAAAUUAUUAUUAUAUAGAUAUUUUAAUUUUAAAAAUUAUUAAUUAUUUCAAAAAAUCAACUAAACUUGUCAACAAAAUUGGAAAUUUCAAUUGAGAUAAAAUAUACCUAAGUUGUCAAUCUAAUGUACAAUUUUAUUUAAACUAAAAUUGUCAAUCCGGUUGGAAACUCUAAUUAAAAGAAGAAAAGUAGGGGAAUUAAUGAAUUUAAUUGAUAUUGAUUACACCAUUAGCAACUUUGACUAAGAAUUGCCCAUUCUUGUAAUUUUUUCUACUUUUGCCCAUUCAUUUAAAUCUAAAAAAAAAAGUGCACCAUUUUGGUAAAAAAACCUAGUUCUCACUUACCUCUAAGAUGUUUAACGUAUAAUGUUUAACCUAUAAGGGAAUUCAAGCAAAAAUAAAACAUUGAUAGAGAAUGAAAAACAUAUCUCACACAUGUUAUAAACACAAAUAAAAGACAAGAGUAAAACUAAACACAAAUAAAUGUCACACAUACUUAUUAUAAACUCAUUCAAUUGACUUAAAUGCAUUAACACACUUAUCUGUAAAUGUAUGUGUUGCCAUCACAUAAAACAUUCGCUUAUGAAGUACACUAGGAGUACAUGAACCAAAUCAUAUUAAAAGAAUACCCUCUUAAUCUACUCUCUAAUGGAAUGAAAUCUAAUUAUAGCUAGUUAGGGAUAGUAUAGUUGUCCAUGGUUGCCCCUAAUCACACUCAUAAACUAGAUAUUUCCUACUGGAAAAUCCCUUAGGCCAAGACAACAUAGAAGACCAUGGAGACCCUCCUAUAUAGACUCAUAUCCCCCCUCAAGAAAAUUUGAAUAAAACAUUUAUACCAAAUAUGCAUAUUACCUGUUGUAUACCUUAAUGUUUAUCUUAAGUGGUCAAGCAUAACUUGGAUUUUCACACUAAUAAGCCGCAACUUAGACUUAUCAAAUGAAUAAACAUAACUUAGAUAUUUACAUCGCUUGGUCACUCAUUAAACUUCUCACAACACAUAAAAAAUAAGAACUUACAUUUAUAUAAUUCACAUGCACCUUCAAACAAAUUAUAAUAACACAUAAUACAACAUCUAAUAACUCAUGACACAUGUUAGCUCAUCAACACAAAUAAAACAAAUAUUAGCAUAGCACAACAGAUCAUCACAAAUCUCAAUAUAUACAUUUUCAUACAUAUACAAUAGUCAAUAAUACUCUUUCACUAUUAGCUUUUAUUAUUGAUAAGGACCUCAAUCUAGUAGCUUCUCUACCAGAUUUUGUGUGUGUGUGAUGGUUGUUAUAAGCGGGGAGAGCAAGAAAAGAAGAUUCCAGAUGUUUCUCAUUGAAGGCUAUCUUCUAUGGAUUUUUCUAACACCUUCUAUUCUCUCAAUUGGAUUACAAUUCACUCAAUGGUGUUUUCCUCUCAAUCACUGACUGCUAGGGUUAUGCCUCAAUCAUCAUAUUUAACCUAAUUUAUGGGAAACUUACUUAUGGAUGGUAAACCAUAAGUAUUACCUACACAAUUACAUUUUCCAUGAAAAAAAAUUCAUCACAAAUUUACCUAUGCAUAGAUUACAUACAAAAUUUAUUUCAUUAAUAAUCCCUAUGUAACCAAUGAAUUUGUUUUGUUUCCUAUGGAUUUGUUUUUAAAUAAAUGUAAUUUUGUUUUGUAAUGUUACAUUCUCUCUACUCACGUGUUCAGUUCAUUAUUUUUUUCUAUAGUAAAACAUAAAAUCAUUAUUUAUUCUCAUUUCUCAUCAGUUUCUUUUUUUUUCAUUUCUAAAGGAAAAAAGAAAGUAAAACACAAGCUCAUUACUUCUACCAAUUUCUCACUAUUUUUUUACCCAUUUUAGAGUGAAAUUUAGUUUCCCGGUAUAGUAUUUUUUAUACAUGAACUUGUAUUAUUUCUCAUGCAAAAAGAAUAAUUUUUAUCUGCAAAGAAAAGAAAGAUUGCUUGAAUAUAAGAAUUUGAAUAGUUAUAUUUUAUCUUUAUUUUUAAGUUAUGGCUUUUUUUUGUUUUAGUGACAAUGAUAAUAUACAUAUAUAUAUAUUAAUAAAUAUAUAUAUAUAUAUAUAUAUAAAUAUGUGUGUAUAUAUAUUAAUUUUGAGUAUAUCAUUUGUACUUCCUGUAACACCCCAUAAUUUACAUGUAACUAUUACAAUAAAAGUUCUACCAGUUUCUAUACAAACUUGGAGUUUUUCAAAACAUUCCAUAUACAUUAUUGGGAUUUAUAGAAAUAAAAAUAUUUACAUAUCCAUAGCUCAAAAUAAAACUCUGAAACCUCUAAGGCUCUCCUGCACCUGUAUGGUCAUCUGCUCGUGUACAUAGUACAGUCAUCGCAGUUCAAACACAGCAAGAAAAGCAAGGGUAAGCUAAUGCAAAGAAAAUCCAUAACAUAAUUCUUGGAAAUAGAACCAAUUUAGACUAAUAAUUUAUAAACAUUUCUUUAAAUGAUUUCAUGUAAAAUUUCAUUACCAAUUCCAUCAUUCAUAUAGAUCAUACAUGGAUCUAUUUUCAAUCACAAUCAUUGGAUUUCAUUUCAAUCCCACUUCGCCUUCCGGAAGACUCAUUAAGUAUGUCCCUACCAGAGACUAACAUCAGGGUAAGUUCAAACAUCCAAUACCGAGUGUCUACAGUUGGACCCGGUGUGUAUAAACUCCUUCUCAGCUUCUCACCACCUAAUAUCUUAGUCUAUCAAAAUAUAAUAUUUAUAAAGCUUAAAUAAUAUAUAAACAAACACACAAUAUAUAAACAAAUAACACCCCUGCAAGAGAAAUUCAAUAUUGGGAUCACUCCCUUCCGCAUUCAGAUCUUCUAUCCUAGGGUGCUAUUAAAAAUUAAAUUUAGCUUCUCUUACCUUAAUUGUUUGCUUUCCAAGCAACUUCUAGAAUUUUAUUUCCCAAGUCUGGAUAAGCUUCAAGAUUUAUGGACCUAAUGUAUGUUAUCCAAACAGAGCAAAAAUUCAGUAUAUAGUAGAAUAAGUUGAGAGGAUUAAACUUCUCAACUGACCCUACGAAGAUUGAUGACUAAAUCCUAAGGAAAAACAGAGAACAAAGGAUCUCUAGAGUAAAAAAGAACUUACUUUGUUUGAAAAUCUGAUCAGGUAGAAAUGUUCCUUAACUUCUCAGCUACACCAUGGUAUGAUCAAAUUCUAAAAUAGAUGAGGUAUGGAGUGAGAAAUUUAGAGAGAAGGUAGAAGGGAGAGAUGGAGGGAGAAAGAAGAAAGAAAAGAAUGGUGCGUGCAGGGGGGUGGGGUUCUGUUUCUUAAAAAAAUAAAAGGCAUUGUUACAUUAUCUCCAACUACAAAAAAUUUUGUCCUCGAAAAUGAACUUACCAAGAAAGAGAUUAGGGUAUGAUGCUCGUAUCUCCUCUUCAAUUUCCCAAGUGGAAUCUCCAGAGAUGAGAUCCCACAAUACUUUCACCAUGGGAAUACUUCUUCCACGAAGUUGUUUCACUUGUGAAUCUAAAAUUCUGAUUGGCUUCACUUCAAAUGACAGAUUUUCUUUCACCUGGAUGGAUUCAGACUCUAGAAUGUGGCUAGGAUCAGGUACAUACUUUCUUAGUUGGGAUACAUGGAAAAUAUUGUGAAUGUUAGCUAAAAGAGGAGGCAAAGCAAUUUCAUAAGCCACAGGGCCUAUUUUCCUGAGAAUUUGAUAAGGUCCUAUGAACUUAGGUGUCAAUUUCUUGGAUUUGAGUGCUCUUCCUACACCAGCGAAUGGUGUAACUCUCAAAAAGACAUGCUCAUCCGCAGAGAAUUCUAAAGGUCUUCUUCUUUGAUCUGCAUAAGAUUUUUUCCUACUGAGAGAUGUUUUCAAUCUUUCCUGAAUCAUUUUUACUUUCUCAUUGGUUUGUUGUAUUAAUUCUGGUCCAAUUAAUACACUCUCACCAUCUUGAAACCAGCACAGAGGUGUCCUGCACUUUCUUCCGUACAAUGCCUCAAAAGGAGUCAUUCCUAUGCUUGCUUGGUAACUAUUAUUGUAGGUGAACUCUACCAAUGGUAGAAUUUCAUCCCAACUGCCCAAAUGAUCUAACACACAAGUCCUAAGCAAACCCUCUAAGGACUGGAUAGUUAUCUCUAAUUGUCCAUCAGUUUGAGGAUGGUAUGCUGAACUAAGUCUGAGUUUAGUCAAUCUUCUUGAAGUGUUUGCCAGAAUCUGUAGGUGAAUCUGGGAUCUCUAUCUGAAACUAUGAUGGAGGGUACACCAUGUAAUCUAACUAUUUCAUCUAUGUAAAUCUGGGCCAACUUCGGCAUAGAGAUUCUCAAGUCUAUAGGUAGGAAGUGUGUCGUCUUUGUCAACCUGUCCACUAUGACCCAAACAGAGUCAUGCUUCCUCAAAGUACGUGGUAAGUGGGUAACAAAAUCCAUUGAGAUACUGCCCCACUUCCACACUGGAAUGUCUAACUGAGUUAACAUGCCUCCAGGUCGUUGAUGUUCAAUCUUUGAUUUCUGACAAGUCAAGCAAGCAGCUACAAACUUAGCUACAUCAUUCUUCAUGCCAUGCCACCAAUAAGACUUCUUCAGAUCUUGAUACAUCUUGGUCAUCCCUGGAUGUAAACUGAGUUUGCUUUUAUGACCUUCAGAUAACACUGUUUGCUUUAGUUCAUUAUCCUCUGGUAUGCAUAUUCUAUUUUUGAAUCUCAAAAUACCAUCCACUCCUAAAGAGAAGUCUUUAGCUUUGUCAGCAUUUAAUAAGCCCAUGAUGUUCUUCAAUUUUGAAUCUUCCAACUGCUUUUCUUUCACCUUCUCCAGAAAUUCAUUAGUUAUAACAAGUGUAUUACAACUAAUGCAAUUUGAAGACAUGGAAACAUCCAAAUUCAUACUUCUGAAAUCUUCAAUCAAUGUUAACUCUUUAAUCAUAAGUAACGACAUUUGUAUCUUUUUACGACUCAACGCAUUUGCAACAACAUUUGCCUUCCCAGGAUGGUAUAUUAGCUGGAAAUCAUAGUCCUUUAGAAAUUCAAUCCACCUCCUCUGCCUCAUAUUAAGCUCGUUCUGAUCAAACAAAUAAUUCAAGCUUUUAUGGUCACUGAACACAUUAAAACUAACUCCAUAAAGAAAAUGUCUCCAUAUUUUCAAAGCAAAGACAACUGCUGCCAAUUCUAGAUCAUGAGUUGGAUAAUUUCUUUCAUUCACCUUUAACUGACGAGAAGCGUAGGCAACAACUUUCUUAUUAUGCAUAAGCACACAACCCAAUCCUUGAUAGGAAGCAUCACAGAAAACUUCAAAAGAUUGAUUGGUAUCAGGGAUUGUCAAUACAGGAGCAUUAGUCAACCUUCUUUUCAACUCUUCAAAGCUUCUCUCACAUUGUUCAGUCCAUGCAAAAGGAUGAUCCUUUCUAGUCAAUUGGGUCAAAGGAGACACUAUUUUAGAAAAGCCUUCUAUAAAUCUCCUGUAAUAUCCUGCUAACCCGACAAAGCUUCUAAUUUUUGUAACUGUUUUAAUACGUUCCCACUGAAGUACAACCUCCACUUUAGAAGGAUCUAUUAAUAUUCCCUGUGCAGAGAUGACAUGUCCUAAAAAUUGUAUUUCUGACAUCCAGAACUCACAUUUUGAAAGUUUAGCAUAUAAUUGUUUUUCUCUCAAAAUGUUCAGGACAAUUCUAAGAUGUUCUGCAUGUUCUUCCCUUGUACGAGAAUAGAUCAAUAUAUCAUCUAUGAACACUACCACAAACUUAUCAAGAAAAGGUCUGAAUAUCCGAUUCAUAUAAUCCAUGAAGAUAGUUGGAGCAUUGGUCACACCAAAUGGCAUGACCAGAAAUUCAUAAUGACCAUACCUUGAUCUAAAAGCAGUCUUCUGAACAUCUUCUGCUUUCACUAAAAUUUGGUGAUAACCUGAGCGCAGAUCUAUUUUAGAAAAGAGAACUGCCCCAUGCAACUGAUCCAUCAGAUCGUCAAUUCUAGGAAGAGGAUAUUUAUUCUUUAUUGUUAACUUGUUUAAUUAUUUGUAAUCUAUACAUAGACGUGACGAACCGUCUUUCUUCUUCACUAAUAGCACUGGAGCUCCCCAUGGAGAAACACUAGGUCGAAUAAAUUGUUUCUCUAAUAAGUCUUCUAGUUGUUUCUUCAAUUUCACUAACUCCGCUGGUGUCAUUCGGUAUGGAGAAAUUGACACGGGGCCUGCUCCGGGAAUCAAGUCUAUUGCAAACUCUAUCUCUCUUUUAGGUGGAAGUCCAAGAAUCUCAUCAGGAAAUACAUCCAUAAACUCCUAAACUACAAACAUAUCUUUUUGUACUUUAUCAGUAACUAUAGAACAAGCCAAGAGCAUAAAACAUUUUGCACCUUCUUGUAUCUCUCUUUCAAACUGAUGAGCUGAGAUAACCUGUAUUCCUUCCAAUCCAAGGAAAAUUAACUUUUUCCGACCACAAUCUAUAAGGAUAUGAUUAGCAGACAACCAAUCCAUUCCCAAAAUAACCUCCAAAUCUUUUAGAGGUAUACAAAUCAUGUUAAUCUAGUAUCUCUGCCCAUCUAUAAUUACUGGACACUCAACACACAUGGAAGAAGUUACUAUAAUACCUUACGUUGGUGUAGAUACCACCAACUCAAUUUCUAAUUCUCGGACAGGAAAAUUAAGUUUCUUAGCACAAUCAAAAGAUAUAAAAGAAUGAGUUGCCCCAGAAUCAAACAAUACAAAUAAUUGUGUUCCAAGGAUAGAACAAAUACCUCUAACAAGGCUAUCGGACUGCGAAGCUUUAGCUCCACUAAUGGCAAAAACUCUACCUAUAGUUGUGGGUUUGUGAUUAUUAUUCUGCCGCACUCCAGUAGUAUUUGGGACUGGAAGUCUGGCACGACAGUCCUUCGUAGCGUGACCAUAUCUAUGGCAUCUAUCACAUGUAACGUUUGGCACUAGAUGAGGACAAAAUUUAACUAUGUGUUCCCCACCACAUCUAAAACAUUUGACAUUUGGUAGCAACUGAGAAGUAGGCUCUCCACUCCUGAAGGAUUGAGGUCUAGAAUAAGGCUUCUUUUUAUCUUCAUAUUUGGGUGUGCUUUUAGAAGGUCCUCCCACUUGAGGCUUAGCAAGUCUACUACUACUUUUCAAACUCUCCACUACUUUUGAUUUCUCCACUAGAGCAGGGAAAUCUCUAAUGGACAUAGGAAUCACCACUUCUUUAAGCUCUUGCUUCAACCCAAACUCAAAUUUUCUACAUCUCCAAGCCUCAGUCAUGGUCUGGGUGUAGAAUCUAGCUAGGUGUUUGAACCUAGUAGCAUAUUCAGUUACUGGAAGAUUUCCUUGUUCUAACUGCAUGAAUUCAAUUUCUUUUGCGUACCUGACACUAUCAGGAAAAUACUCCUCCAUAAAUAUUACUUUGAAGUUCUCCCAAGUGGCAUCUUCUCCUUUAUCUUCCAUCAUUUGCUUCAUGCCUACCCACCAAAACUCAGCUUCUUCAAUAAGCAUAUAGAUAGCAUAAGAUAACUUUCUCUCUUCAGGGCAUUGAGUAGCUUCAAAGAUUCUUUCUAUGUCUCUUACCCACUGGUCUGCUUCAUCUGGAUUUACCUUUCCAUUAAAUUUGGGUAAAUUAUGUCUCAGAAAAUCCUCCAGACUAUAGGUAUGGGGUUGUUGAUGAAACUUAGAUGCUUUUGCUGCUAAUCUAGUUGUUUCUAAUUAAUGAUGGGCGGUCUGAUGUUGUUGUGCCAUAGUAGCACUUUGUUGUUGCAAGGUUGUUGCCAUCAUCUCUAUUGCCCGAGCUAAGUUGGGCAUAUCUACUGGUGGAGGAGGAGUAGGUGGUUUACGUGCCAUCUACUAAGCACAUAAAGAAUUGGGUUAGAAAUUACUAAAAAUUUCCAACUACAUCUUCAAGACAAAUUAACUUAAAAGAAAUAAUCACACAAAAUAGAUACAAAACCAAUCAAGACUUAUCCCUAAAAUGUACUCUAGCUACUUAGAAUUAAGAUAGAAAAUAAUCUUGAUCUAGUCAUGAGUGUGCACCCUCACCACUCUAUCAAGAUUCUUUUCAUUCUUAAUAUUUUCAUUUUUAUUCAUAAUAUCUACUUUGACUCAAGCACAAACAAGAUUUCAAGAAAACAACGUUGUUAAACAUCCUAUUAGGCAUUUUUAGCUAAGCCUUAAAGCUAGACUUAAACAAAACUUUACACGCCGGAGAAACACAAUAAACCCACUACCCUCAGGUUAUCCUAAGGAUGAACUGCUCUGAUACCAUUAAAUGUAACACCCCAUAAUUUACAUGUAACUAUUCCAAUAAAAGUUCUACUAGUUUCUAUACAAACUUGGAGUUUUUCAAAACAUUCCUAAUACAUUAUUAGGAUUUAUAGAAAUAAAAAUAUUUACAUAUCCAUAGCUCAAAAUAAAACUCUGAAACCUCUAAGGCUCUCCUGCACUUGUAUGGUCAUCUGCUCGUGAACAUAAUAUAGUCAUCGCAGUUCAAACACAGCAAGAAAAACAAGGGUAAGCUAAAGCAAAGAAAAUCCAUAACAUAAUUCAUGGAAAUAGAACCAAUUUAGACUAAUAAUUUAUAAACCUUUCUUUAAAUGAUUUCAUGUAAAAUUUCAUUACCAAUUCCAUCAUUCAUAUAGAUCACACAUGGAUCUAUUUUCAAUCACAAUCAUUGGAUUUCCUUUCAAUCCCACUUCGCCUUACGGAAGACUGAUUAAGUAUGCCCCUACCAGAGACUAACACCUGAUUCAAAGAUUACCAGCGAAUCCAAUAGGAAGAAUCAGGGUAAGUUCAAACAUCCAAUACCGAGUGUCUACAGUGAGACCCGGUUUGUAUGAACUCCCUCUCAGCUUCUCACCACCUAAUAUCUUAGUCUACAUGACUUAGAUCAUUAGUGAAGCCAGAGGAUCUUCGUUAAACAUAGGCUUUUCAUACUUAACGUAUCGUCAAACAACAACUCAUGCAUUAUCCCAAAUGUAUGACAUCAAUUUCAUACAAUUUACAUCAUUCGUAUAUAAUACAUAUCAUUCAAUCACAUAACAUUUAAAAAUUCAUAUCAUUCCAUAACUUUUCCAACGUCAAAAACAAUAUUUAACUCUCAAACUAUCAAAAUAUAAUAUUUAUAAAGCUUAAACAAUAUAUAAACAAAUAACACCCCUGCAAGAGAAAUUCAAUAUUGGGAUCACGUCCCUUCCGCAUUCAGAUCUUCUAUCCUAGGGUGCUAUUAAAAAUUAAAUUUAGCUUCUCUUACCUUAAUUGUUUGCUUUCCAAGCAACUUCUAGAAUUUUAUUUCCCAAGUCUGGAUAAGCUUCAAGAUUUACGGACCUAAUGCAUGUUAUCCAAACAGAGCAAAAAUUCAGUAUAUAGUAGAAUAUGUUGAGAAGAUUAAACUUCUCAACUGACCCUACCAAGAUUGAUGACUAAAUCCUAAGGAAAAACAUAGAACAAAGGAUCUCUAGAGUAAAAAAGAACUUACUCUGUUUGAAAAUCUGAUCGGGUAGAAAUGUUCCUUAACUUCUCAGCUACACCAUGGUAUAAUCAGAUUCUAAAAUAGAUGAGGUAUGGAGUGAGAAAUUUAGAGAGAAGGUAGAAGGGAGAGAUUGAGGGAGAAAGAAGAAAGGAAAGAAUGGUGCGUGCAGGGGGUGGGGUUUUGUUUCUUAAAAAAAUAAAAGGCGUUGUUACACUUCCUAAAAUUAUUGGUGAAGAAUUAUCAAGAGCUAACAUAUGAAUUUUUCAAAAUAUAAACAAUAAAAUAUAUGAAUUUUCUAAAAUAUAAUAUGUUAUUCUCCAAUCACAUUUUGCUUCACUAAAAUACUCGUUGAAUAUCAUAUAAUUUUUUUUAUAAAGCUUUCAUGUUCGACAUCACUAUUUAACUUGAUAUCUCAGCUAUACUGACACCUUAAGUAACAACAAUCAUUUGUCAUCACACGAAAAAAGUAUUAUUAAAAAUAAAAUAAAAGAAAAGAAAAUACAAAAAAAUAUAUAUAUAUAUGGGGAGAGCAGACCAAAACUCAUGUGUUAAAAAAAAUGGUACAUAGGUAGACUAUACCUAUUCAUAAAGAAUUCUAAAAACAGACUAGAAGGAAGCCUAUUAUACUAAUAAAAUUAUUCUUUAUGAAUAAUUCCUAAAUUAGUCAACUUAUCAGCACACACAUUCCCUUCACGAAAAAUAUAAGUAAACCUAAACCUGAUUUUGCCACAGUAAUUAAGAGAAAUAUGUCAUUGAUUACGAAACAUUCAUGGUACAUUAGUUAUAGUAGUAAAUGCAGCACAAACCAAGGCAGAAUCACAUUCAAGCCAUACACUAGUAAGCCCCAUCCUUUGAUCUUCCUCCAUAAUAUAACUCCAUAAACCAAAGCAACCAAAGCAGUCUGAACGUCAAGAAAUGCAAAGAACACACCAAUAAACUCCCCCAUACUCUCAUGGAAAAUACUUCCACAAGUAGCAAGACCAGGAUAUCCUCGAGUAGCUCCAUCAAUGUUAAUUUUAACCCAGCCUGGUGAAGGGAACUCUCAUCUAACUGGAAGAGGAUGAAGAACUUUACCAGUACGAGUAUUAAUAGCAAAAAACUUAAUGGCAUUGAAAUCCUCAUAUCAUUCUUCAUUGAAACUUUAGAUGAAUUUCCCACAAGACUAGUUAAAUCUUUAAUUGUUGAAAUAGCCCUAGAAACAUCAAUUUAUCCUGAAAUCUAACGUAAUUCCUCAUACGCCAUAUCAUCCAAAUAGAAAAGGUUAUCACAACAAGCUUAAACAAUUUAAUCAAAGGACUACCAUCACUCUUAAUAAAAGAAAAAAGAUCAUCUUUAUUAGAGAAUUGAGGAGUAAGAAAAAUCUGGCGAACCCAACUCCAAAUACGCACAACAGUAAAACAUUCAAAAAAUAAAUGUUGAAUAGAUUUCCAUGCUUUCCACAAAGCGUACACAUAUAACAUAUAUGGAAACCUUUAUAGUGAAUAUGUUGAUCAUGAAAAACUUUCCAGAGUACUAGAGUUUUGGAAGGCGGAAUAGAUGAAGACUAAAUGAAUUUACCCCAACAACAAGAAACUCGUGGUUCCAAAAAAAAUGUCUUAGCCGAUUUAAGAAUGAAACGACCAGACUCAUCUAGAAUCCAUCAAAUAUCACCAUUAUCAAACAAAUUUAUAUUACGAUUACAUAAUUAACAAAUUUAUGCGAAGGGGAAAGAUUACUAACUUGUGUAAAAAAAUCAAUAGAAACGAGAAUGAAAAGUCACGAGAUACUUCUUGACCUAAAAAAGAUGGUGUCAAAAUGAAGAAAAUAAAAUAACACCUUACACAAAUAAAAAAGAAAAAAACAUACGUAGAGAACAAAGAUAAAUGAGGCACAAAUAAAAAAAGUUCAGAUAAUGACCAUCAGCAUAAACUUUUGCAUUAUGUAGAUAACCGUCAUUAGAAAAGAGAUAUAUGAUGCCAAUAUAAAAUAGCCUAGUUAAAAAAAAUUAACUUAUUUUAAAAAUUGCUACUGUAUUAAUUUUGACGACAAUUAUUUAGGAUCACAGUUAAAGAUAUUAAUAUUAUAUGUUUUUCUAAUGUAAAUAAUUGAAGUCCUUGAAGUUAAUAUAAAAAUUAUAAAUAAUUAUAUUAAAUUUCAGAUAAGAUAUGAAUCAAUUUUAUAAAACUAAUAUAAAUCUAGAAGUUAUUUUUACACAAAAAAAGAUAAUAUCAAGCAAUUUAGUAUUGGAAUAAUGAUUUCAAUGGAUAGAAUUUUAAUACAUAUCUGUUCAAAAAUUGAUAUGUGCGAUGGGAAAUAAUUUAUAGGAAAAAAAUGUUUUGCUAUGAAAACUUAUACUUUGAACUUUUUAUGUUUAUGAAUUUUCUAGUUAAAGACUAUUAUAAUUAAUUAUUAUGCUUUAUACUAAUAGUUACGAGAGUUACUGUGAUAAGUUUAAAUAGUAUCUUAUAAACGAUGUAAAAAUAUACGAAAAAAUGUAUCACACACUACUACUAUUAACUUGAUAUGUCAUUAUAUGUUAUAUAAAAUAUGGCUAUAUGAUAAAAAGAAUUGAGAGUAGGAAAAAUUAAAAAAAUAUUUCAGAAAUCUAAACUAAAAUAAAUGUAAAUAAACAUUUUUUUCAAAAUUUAAAAGUAAAAUAUUUAAUCUAUUAUCUACAUAAUUUUUUAAGAAAAAAAUUAUUAAAUACUAAAAAUAAAUAAAAGUAUAAUAUAUUGAAACCGAAUCUUAUCUAAGUAUUUGAAGUAAGCUGUUCCCGAAAAGCAAAGUCAUGAACCGUGCUUCCCCAGAAUGCACACAAACCACCGUUUCGUAAGUUUCAAGAUUGAAUAUUAAACGCCACUUUUUUUUAAGAUAUAAGCAAAAUUCUCAUUAAUAGAAUCAGUAUUAAUUAACUUUGAAUCUCUAAAUUGGAUUAAGAUAAUAUUUUCUCAAAUUUCUCUAUAAAUAUUCUCGAAAACCAAAAAAAAAAUAUUAUAAAAUAUAACAUAGAUAAACAAAAGAGUAAAGAAAGAAGACAAAUAUAUCUAAUAUUAUUCUGUUGAGAUCAAAACAAAUAGUAUGAAUAUAUACUAGCACUACACUCAUUUUAGGUCUAGCUAAAGAGAGAAAUAAUCAAUCAAAUAAAUACUAUAAUCAUAUCAGACAAAACAAACUAAGGUAGUGUUUGGAUUGGGGGAUAGCACUGUAGCGAAGACGGAUGGGGGUGUGCCACCCCCGUUUGCUUCAAUGGGCGCAAGAGAAUGAGGGUGCGGGUGAAGAGAAAGUUGUAGGUUUUUGGGUUCCUUCAUGCAUUGAAGAGAAAGGAGAGAAAGUAACGUAGAAAGCCACGUAGCACGGUGUCAAUUACAAUACUGCCCAUUACUUUUUCACUUUGAAGCACUGUGGCUACCCAUUGAUUAAAGUUGAACCAUUGCACUGCGACAAAAAUGGCACCAGCAAGCAUGAGAUUCUUGACUUUAGGUUUAGGGAAUCUCAUUGACCAAUUUUUGAAUUCGUAAUGAAUGUUCCAAGUUGAGUGGGUGAGGUGGGUAGGGUGCCUCAUGUUAUAUAACAUAAUUAUGCCAAUUGAACUAAGCACUUCAAAGAAAUCAAACUCUCCUUUUAUACUUUGCAUUGCGCUGAAAUAGGAGCUUGUAGAGGGUCGUGAGUAAGCAUAGAGGUGGUUCACUGAGUUUCAUUGUUCAUCUGUGAGCUGAGGUAAGGGUUCCAAUUCAUUUCGUUCCAAUCAUAAUUGAUUAUGGGUGAAAAAUAACAAUGCACAUAAUCGAUUAUGCUAUUUAAAAUAGUUCAUAAUCGAUUAUGCUUAAUACAUAAUCGAUUAUCUGUAAAAAAUUUGGCAACUUAAUCGAUUAUGUGGGCUAUGCUUUUGUGCUGAUAAUCGAUUAUCCUACAACAUAAUCGAUUAUAUUGAUUUUUAAACUGCAGGCAUAAUCGAUUAUGCAUGUUAAAACUUUGGAUAAUCGAUUAUGUUGCUUUUUGAAUUGUGGCCAUAAUCGAUUAUGCAUCUUAAAUGUGUGGGUAAUCAAUUAUGUGUUGUUUUAAACGGACCUCACAAUCGGUUAUGUUCAUGUUUUUAUUAGAUUUUUCAUUUUGUGAUUUUUGUUUUAAUUUUUUAAUACAUUUUUUUCAAGCACAGUUUGAUAUUGUUGAGAGUUGAUUUCUGUUGUGAUUUUGUUAUGCUUUCUUGAGAUAUGUGUGAUUUUUUUAAAUUGUGUUGGAUGUUUAUUGUUUUUGGAAUUUUAGUUUUUUAAAUUAUUGUAAAGUAGUUAUUGAUGUUAAUUAGUUUGUAAUUUUAAAUGAGAAUGAUUAGGAAAAAUAAAAUAGUUAUUAUACUAAAUUAAUUAUUGUCUUGAUUAUUUAUUUUUGUAUUGUUAUGUAAAAAAAUUGUAAUGUUUUAAAUAUUUGUUGUGUCAUAUGAAUUGAAAUAUAGGUAUGAAUUUGUUUUGUUUUGUUUUUUAUAUAUAUAACAUAAUAUUUAUUAAAUAAUCAUUAAUAAUAUUAAAAUUACCUACAAAUAAAAAUUUACUAAUACAAUUUUUUCAAUUAAUAAAAUUAAAAAUAAGAAAUCAUAUUUCAUUUCUAUAUUCUAUUUUUUAAUUUAUUUCAAUUUUAAAUUAUUUUUUAAUUUAUAAUUGAAACUUACAAUUAUUUUAAUUAUCAAAAUUAUGUACAAAAUUAAAAAUCAUUUUUUUAUUUUUUUACACACAUGGACAAAAGUAUACUUUAUUAUAUAUAACAUAAUGUAAUAGAAAUUAAAUAAUAUAAUAUUAAUUAUUUUAAUUAACUUAAAUGUCCUUUAAAUUAAUUAAUAUUUCAUUUUCUCAUUUAUUUAUAUACAAAGAUAAAUUUGUAAUCUUACAAUUUAUACUAUUCAAAAUAUAUUAAAAGACUCUUCAAACUAUCAUAUCAUUCACGUAUUUCAAUAAAUUUUCUUCACACAUCUACUCUAACAUCCCUCAAUCCAAACACCCUCAACUUUCUUCACUCUUUCUUCACACUUCCACUCUGGUAUCCAUAUCUUUAAUAAAAAAAUAUAUUUUUUUUUAAUAAAUUAAAAUUAGCAUGUGAAUAAAAUCAUAUAUAUUUUAAAUUUUAACCAUUCAAAUAAAAUCUAAUUAUUGGUAUUUAUAAUUCUUAUCUACCAUAAUAAAUAUAAAAAACAUUCUUCUUUAAAUGCUUCCUACGUAUUUAGAAGUAUUGUAAUUUGGAUUGAAGCUCAUUAGAUUAAUUAUUAAUUAACUCAUAUUAUGUGUAAUCAUAUAAUAGUCAAAGUGUAUAACACAUUUGUGGUUUGGAUGUUAAUGGUGUCAUUAGUUUAGCUUAUCCAUAAUCUAUAUUUAAUUGAAAUGAAAAUAAAAUGUGUUUUUUGAAAGCACUUUUGUUUGAAAGUACAUGAAUCUGAAAGCGUGGCUAAGAACACUGCCAGCAAAGACAACGCAAAGUUAUGGCCCCAAACACCUUGGCGGUUCAGAAGUUGCUGAAACUUAUCGAGUUUCAUUUCUUUUAACAAUUCUUUCUUUUUAUAAAAUUUGAGAUCAUACUAAAAGCCAUGAUUAUUUGUUAACUAUGUUUAGAGGUUCAAAAAUAAACUUUUACUAUUCUCCAACUUCUCCAUUAACAAGGAAAAAUAAUUUUUUAAUUGAAAAAAUAUGUAAAUUAAUGAAUAUUAGUAUAAAUAUAAAAAAAAUAUAUAUAUUUUUUCUCAUUACUAUAUCGUAAUUUUUUUUUUAAUUCAAACUUAAGAUUUAAUUAUGAAAAUAAUUUUUUUAUUAGUAUUUAUUUUUAUGUAACUUUAAAUCUCGUAAAUAUUUAUAGUAAAAAACUAAGAAAAUAAAUUUUUAUUUGUAUUUUAUUUAUGUUAUGAUCAAAUUUUUAGUAUGGACUAAAUUAUAAUAUUAUAAUAUUCACAUAAUGAGUCAGUAUAGUAUGAAAUAUUUCAACAUUUUAAUUUAUCUUAAUAAUUUUUUUAUUAUAAAUCUUAAUAAUUUUUUUAUUAUAAAUAUACAGAGAUCUACAAUUUAGACUAAAAAAUGAAAAAAAGUAAAUAAAAAAAUAUAUAUUUAAUUUUUAAAAAAAAUUAAUUUAUAAAUUGAUUUUAUUAUGUGUAUAAUGAUAUGUGUCUUCAAUGUUAAGAUGGUUGUAUUAUAUAAUAUGUUUUUUCUCAUAAACUUAUAAAAUGUGAUUUUUAAGUAUGGGUUUUUAUAAUUAUAAAUUUUGUGUAGUAUAAUUUUUUGAAAAAUAGAGAGCAUGGAAGAAGAAGCAUUUCUCAUUUGAGAAUCUCCUUUUCCAAUUUUUUCUCAUAUUAAUGAUUAUGGAAAGAGUAAAAGAUGGGAAGGGUUAGCACUUUUAGGACUGCCGACACUAAGCAAACUUUUUCUUCUUGAAAACAGAGAGAAGACAAAUUUUAAAAAAAAGUUUAUUUUUAGAAUAUAUAAUUUAUAAUAAAAAUGAGUUGGAGGUUGAGAAAUGAUAAUAUUUAAUAAAGUGAAAAAAGUCAUUGGUCGGUUAAGAGAAAGUGCAUGUGUACCAUUUCAUCAUUGAUUUAAGAAUGAAUGAUGAGGUUCCUUCCAAUAUUCUUGUCAUAAGUAAUAAAACACUAAUCAUUCAAUAAAUAAUUGUUAAGUUUAUAGUAUUGUUUUACUUAACUCCAAUUAUCAAACAAUUCCUUUUGUUUAUAACCAAGGUGAUCCACUUAUUGGUUUGAGUAGAAUUAUGAAUUAAGUAAAUUUGAAUUAAUCAAUAUUUUUUUUUUCAUAAUUUAAAUAAAACAAACUAAGAGAUAUCCCAUUUUUGUGUCUUCUAUUUUAUUUAUAUAACUACUAAUAUCAUCAACUAUAUAGUUGGGAAAACUUUGAUGAUACAUAUUUACUUCUCUAGAAAAUUUCAGUAUAGAACUAAAAGAAGAAAAGUCAGAAAAUUAAACAAAUAGAAUUACACUAAAAAAAGACAAAGAAAAAACAUUGAUAUAAAAUUAAUGACUAUGUUUUAAUUAAUGUCAGCUGAAAUAUUUUAUUAAUUAAAAUUAUCUAAAACAUUCUUGGUCAAGGUUAGGGAUAAAAAAAUUCAUGUCCACAUAUAUUCCUAACAACAAUCCAAAAUAAUAUAAAAUAAGUAUUUUAAUGGAUACUUGUGGCUAACAUAUAUGAAUAUUUUAAUCGCCAUUUAUUAAUGGAAUAUGUACAAGUAUCAUGAUAUUCUACUCGUGAAUAUCUAUUAUUCACAAUAAGUAAACUUUACUUGGAUUUUGUAUGAGUUAAUUUUUAAUAAGUAAAAAACUCAUGUUGCCAUCUUAAGUCAAAGUUAGAUGAAAAUUUUCUUAGUCAAUGUUGAUUUUUUUUAACAAAUUGAAAACAAAAAAUAAUAGUGUUGUGAAAAAUAGUCCUUAUAAACCCUAAACAUUCACUACUAAAAAAAGAAUUUAUAUAUAUAUAUAGAUAUAUAGAUAUAAAUAUAUUUAGAGCUAAUUACGUCACAUAACAAUUUACAUAGAUGUGAAUGUAGAAGAUAAAAAUUUACAUUGAACAUAAUACUUGUUGUAGAAUAUGCAUUUUUACGUCAAACUAACUUAUAACAAAUAUAAUGUGUAUUAAGGAAAUAAUAAUUAUAAAAUUAUAUGCAAUUAUUGUAUGCAAUAUUUGACAAUAUUGUACCCAAUUAUAUGCAAUUAAUUUAAUAAUUAUAGAAUCUCAUUAUUAGUAUCCUACCUAAUUAGAUUGUAAUUUGGGAGAGAGAAACUCCCUAUAUAUUUCCUAUACAUGACUGAUGUAAUAUACACAUAAGAGAAUAAGAAACAUCUUUUCUUCUUACCAUUUUUUAUCAUUUUCUUAUAUGGUAUCAGAGCACCGAUCUUGGUGUCCUGACAGCCUCUCCAUUUUUAUCCCCUAAAUAAAAAAUCAUGUCUGGCAAAGAAGACAUCAGUAACGAGUCCGAUAGAAACCUCGUACAACAUUUCAGUGCCGAACAAAUUCAACAAUUGGCAAGGGCUAUUUACUCGCUCAACAAUAACGGUAAAAGUGACACGUUUGUUAGCUCUGCAGGUCUGCUUGCCCAUAACUCCUCUUCUAAUUCUGCUUUUACGUAACCAUGGAUUUUGGAUAGCGGAGCAACCCAUCACAUUGCAUCUGAUUCACAAUUUUUCACACACACUUCAUCAUCAUUUAUUUCAAAUGUUAAUCUGCCCACAGGCUCAACUGCGCCCAUCUCAUCUACAGGCACAAUUAAAUUCAAUGACAAAAUCACUCUCAAAGAUGUUCUUUGUGUUCCUUCUUUUAAUUUAAAUCUCAUGUCCAUUAGUAAGAUAACCAGUUCACUAAAUUGUUGUGUCGUUUUUACUCCACAUGGUUGCGUUUUACAGGACUUGGCUAUUUCUUAUACUACACGCAGGCUUAUACUACAUGUCCCCUCUUCCAAACCAAGCCCACGCAUAUCAAAUAUCGACCGAUCCUGAUUUAUGGCAUAAGCGCCUUGGACAUCCUUCUCCGUGUCUACAACUUGUAUCUUCCCUACUACCUAUCCCUAUCAGUAAAAAUCUCAUUCCCAUUCGUAAUCAAUUUGNNNNNNNNNNNNNNNNNNNNNNNNNNNNNNNNNNNNNNNNNNNNNNNNNNNNNNNNNNNNNNNNNNNNNNNNNNNNNNNNNNNNNNNNNNNNNNNNNNNNCAAUAAAAUCUCAUUCUCCAUUUAAUCUAUUGCAUUGUGACAUUUGGGGUCCUCAUAAAACCCCAACUCAUUUUGGAAAACGUUUUUUUCUCACUAUAGUCGAUGACUAUACUAGAUGUACUUGGCUAUUUCUUAUGAAUCACAAAUCUGAAACCCAACAUCUCUUAGAGUCAUUAAUUACAUUUGCACAAAAUCAAUUUCAGGCAUCUAUUAAAACCAUCCGCGUUGACAACGGACUGGAAUUUAUUUCAAUGUAUGAUUUUUUUCUCAAAAAAAGGUAUUGAAUGUCAACGCACUUGCGUUUACACUCCUCAACAAAAUGGGGUAGUAGAACGCAAACAUAGACAUGUUUUAAACACAACACGAGCCCUCCUAUUUCAGUCCAAUUUACCAUUAGAAUUUUGGGGAGAAUGCGUUUUAACUGCCACAUAUAUCAUUAAUCGCUUGCCAUCACCUUUACUAAAAAAUAAAUCACCUUUUGAGCUACUAUAUAAUCAACCACCUUCACUUUCUCACCUAAAAACUUUUGGUUGCCUUUGUUACGCAACUGUUGUUUCACCUAAGCAAAAAUUUGAUCCGCGUGCCCGACAAUGCAUCUUCAUUGGUUAUCCUCACAGUCAAAAUGAUAUAGAUGCAAGNNNNNNNNNNNNNNNNNNNNNNNNNNNNNNNNNNNNNNNNNNNNNNNNNNNNNNNNNNNNNNNNNNNNNNNNNNNNNNNNNNNNNNNNNNNNNNNNNNNNNNNCAUUGACUUACCCACUCCUGUCCAACAUUCACUCGAUCAACCUUCUUCUCUUACUCAUCACAAUGCACCUCAACCUCCAUCAAACCAACCUUUUUCUCCUACUCGUCACAAUACACCCGAACCUCCAUCAAACCAACCCUCUUCUCCUACUCGUCACAAUGCACCUGAACCUCCAUCAAACCAACCUUCUUCUCCUACUCGUCAUAAUACACCUGAACCUCCAGUAGACCAACCUUCUUCUCCCAUGCCAAGAAGUUUAGCACCCAAUACCAAACCUUUUCCAACCGACUUUCCUGUUUGACGAUCCAGUCGCACAUCAACCCAACCUUCUGGGUUUCAAGACUACGUAAUGGGAUCCCAAGCCAAUCAUUCGACCACUGCCCAAGACCGACAGAAUGGAACCAGGUAUCCUAUGCAUCAUUUUCUUUCUAAUUCACGAUUUUCUUCUACACAUAGUGCAUAUCUUGCUAACAUCACAGCCACGAAAGAACCUCACACUUACGCUCAAGCUAUCCUUGAUCCAAAUUGGCAAAAAGCAAUGGACGAAGAGCUUUCCGCCUUGCAGCUAAAUCAAACGUGGACCUUGACAUCGUUACCCGCUGGACAGAAACCCAUCGGAUGCAAAUGGGUUUAUAAAAUAAAGUACAACUCAGAUGGUAGCGUCGACAGAUAUAAGGCGCGCCUUGUCGCAAAGGGGUACACUCAGAUUGAAGGUGUCGACUAUUCUGAAACUUUUUCACCAACAGCAAAAUUAACAACUUUGAGGUGUCUCCUCACCAUUGCAGCAGCCAGAAAUUGGUUUACUCACCAGCUAGAUGUGCAAAAUGUCUUCUUACAUGGCACAUUGCAUGAAAUUAUUUACAUGGACUUGCCACUCGGACAUCAUCGACAGGGGGAGAACAUUGUAUGUCGACUCAACAAAUCCCUUUAUGGUCUCAAACAAGCAUCUCGAACAUGGUUUUCAACAUUUUCUCAUGUGAUUAAAUCUGUAGGAUUUCAACAGUUCAAGACAGAUUACUCUCUAUUCACAAGACAGAAUAACUCAUCAUUUACUGCCCUUUUGAUUUAUGUGGAUGAUAUUCUUCUGACAGGAAAUGAUUUGACAGAAAUUCAGCGUGUUAAAGAUUGUUUAUUACAACAAUUUCGCAUUAAAGAUCUUGGAGAUCUAAAAUAUUUUCUAGGGAUUGAAUUUUCCUGUUCCAAAGCUGGUAUUUACAUGUCCCAAAGAAAAUAUGCGCUUGAUAUUUUGCAGGAUACGGGACUCACAGGUGCUCGUCCAGACAAAUUUCCAAUGGAACAAUACCUAAAACUCACACCAGACAAUGGAGAGUUAUUAAAGGAUCCAGUCAAAUACAGGCGACUCGUGGAACGACUGAUAUACCUCACGGUUACUCGGCCUGACAUAGCAUUUUCGGUUCGGACCCUAAGUCAAUAUAUACAGGAUCCACGGAAACCUCAUUGGGAUGCUGCAAUUCGAGUCCUAAAGUACAUCAAAGGAUCACUAGGACAAGGAUUGUUAUUGCCAUCCGAAAACAAUCUGACAUUGACAGCUUAUUGCGACUCAGACUGGGGAGGUUGUCAGACAACUCGGAGAUCCGUAUCUGGAUAUUGCAUUUUUCUUGGUUCAUCUAUUAUCUCAUGGAAGUAAAAAAAACAGACAAACGUAUCAAGAUCAUCAGCGGAAGCAGAAUACCGCGCAAUGGCCAAUACUUGUUUGGAGAUAGUUUGGUUGCGAUAUCUGUUGCAGGAUUUAAAGGUGCCAUGUAACUUGCCAGCUCAACUUUUCUGUGACAAUCAAGCGGCAUUACAUAUAGCAGCAAACCCAGUAUUUCAUGAACGCACAAAACACAUUGAGAUAGACUGCCACAUUGUGCGAGAAAAAUUACAAGCUGGAAUAAUCAGUCCUUCAUAUGUACCGACACAGUAUCAGCUCGCAGAUAUUUUUACGAAGGCAUUGGGCAAGGAACGAUUUUUGACGCUACGACACAAGUUGGGGGUUCUUGAUCUUCACCUACCAACUUGAGGGGGAGUAUUAAGGAAAUAAUAAUUAUAAAAUUAUAUGCAAUUAUUGUAUGCAAUAUUUGACGAUAUUGUACCCAAUUAUAUGCAAUUAAUUUAAUAAUUAUAGAAUCUCAUGAUUAGUAUCCUACCUAAUUAGAUUGUAAUUUGGGAGAGAGAAACUCCCUAUAUAUUUCCUAUACAUGACUGAUGUAAUAUACACAUAAGAGAAUAAGAAACAUCUUUUCUUCUUACCAUUUUUUAUCAUUUUCUUAUAAUGUGUUUUAGAUAAGAGUAAUUUUAUUAAGCGAACAUUACGCCAGACUAUGCAACAUAAAUUUAAAUUGGCCAAUUUUACAACAAUGAUAAAAUAACUACUACUAACUUUAAUAAAAAAAAAAUAUUAAUGACAUCCAUUGAAAAUUGAACUUUGUUCUUAUAAGACCUAGAAACAAAUAACUUAUUCUUCUUUGGACCAGUCAACUUCUCGGUCUUCUAACUCGGGUUUAGGCUUUCGGCUACAUUGUUCACUAAUUUGGGCUAGGACUUGGAUAUAAGUUAUGGACUCUCACUUGUUGGACUGGAUCAACUGGAACUCUCAGUCUCUGGUCUCAAUAUCAGAUCUCGAGUAUUUGUGUAUACCUGCAAAGGGCUCCGAUAAUAAAGUCAGAAUCGAUUUUAAUUAUUUAUCAGAUAAAUUUACUUUACUUACCUCUUUGGUUGAUCACCUAUUUAUAUCCAUUAUUGGACUUUAGACUCAAUUGAACUUUUACUCUUCGUACUUUUAUUAAACAUAUUGCACGUACUUGGGCCUAUCUAAUGAACUUUGCUACACUAUUUUAUUAUUUAAUUAUUUAUCCAUUUUUUCUUAGUUUCAAGUCUUAUUGUCGACCUUUCAAACUUUCGGUCAUUCGGCCUACCUCCUGGUUAUUAGUUACUAGUUUUAUAUGUUUUUUGAUUUGGCCUUUGUCGGUUAGUAUAAAAGUUUUAGCAUCAUUAUCUCAUUCUUAUGAAUUUGUUCACUUUUCGACCAUUCGGCUUGGUAUGAUCAACUUUAUAUAAAAAUGAUUAUAUGUUUUAAACUUAUAUUUUAAACACAAUAUUCUUUCUACAUGUUUUCAAUUCAUGAUAAAAUAAAUCAUGUAAAAAUGUUUAAAUGACCGUAAACCUUUUAACCUUUCGAUCAUUCGAGGUAGACAACACAAUCUUGAUGAUAUUUGUUGAAAAAACUCUAACAAAAGUUGAUCAAGAAUUAACCUUUAUCUUCAUUGACCAAAACAUAAUCCUAAUAACAUCAACUAACAAAUAAUCCCUAUCAAUUUUGGAUGAAAAACUGUAACUUACCUAAGACAAAAAUAAGUCAAUUGAAUUAAAAAUAAUCCCUAUCAAUAAACCCUAUCAUUCAAAUCAAAAAAAGUGUUUGACAUUGAUAAAAAAAAUCACCUUGUUGACUAAAAAAUCUUUAUUAAUAUCAAUUGACAACUAAUAUUGACUUACAUCAACAAAAAUAAAAUUUGAUGAUGUUUACUGAAAAAUAAUCAUUAUCAAUUCUCUUAAAAGAAUUUUUUUUCUCAAUAUCAAUAAAAAACAAUAUGGAAUCGAUGAUCUUCCGACGAUCUCAAUGAAGAAGAUAAUGUUACAAUUAAAGUCAAGUUGAAAAGAGAGUAUAAAGAGAGUAAUUACAAAAUUUUAAGAUGAGAGAAUAUGAAGAGUCUUAAAUUCUUAAAUUUUAGGUAAACAUUGAAAUUUUCUAAUUUUUAAUAAUCAAAUUACUCUCAUAAUUUUUUAUAAUUCUUUUAAAAUUUUCUACUAAAAAUAAGUUACUCAUUAUUAUUAGUUAAUGUAUACAAACUAUUUUCCAUUUUUAAAGUUGAUAAAUCUAUCACGAUUUUAUUUUUAAAAUAUAUUCUAGAAUUAAAAGAUAAAUAAAUACAUACAUAUAUAAAGUUAUUAUUAACCUUAAUUUCUAAGUUUUAUACAUAUCAAAACAAGUAAUCAAUAAAGAACUAAGAAAUAAGAAUAUCACUUUAUAACUCUCCCUUUUGUCACGUAUCCAAAUACAUUUUAAAAAUAAAACCAAAAUCAUAAUAAAAUCAUCAAAUUUUAAAAUAGAUAAUAUUUCAAAUGUAAUAAUAGAUUUAAAUAUGAAAAUAAAAUCAUACAUUAACCACUUAUUUGUCUGUGUAAAGUAAAAAAAGAAAGAAAUUCAAAAAGAACAUAUAAAACAAAAAAGUAACGUUAGAUUGUAUUACAUAUUUUAUAAAGAAAAUAUUAUAUAAAAAUAUUUAAAUUUAAUGUGUAUAAAAUAUGAAAUCCGUUCAAGACUUACAUACAUACGAGAAUUAAUGUAAGGCUCUUGUUGGAGAAGUUAAAAUACUCUCUCUUCUUUUGAAAGUAAAAGUAUGGAAAUUUUAGGUAAUAAGUGUAAUUUGUGAGUUAUUAUGGAAAUGGGUAGAUUUUUUUAUUUAUUUUAACGAGGAUGAACUUGCGUGAGGGUGAGACGACUUUGAUUACACAUUGAAGUCAUGUACAAUAAAGACUGUUUUAAUUAAUAUUUAAUAGAAGUCAUAGGAGAAAAAGCGACUAUAGUGCCUGGGUUAUUGAAGAAGUCGUGAUAACACCACAAAACUUCAACUCAAAAAUAUUUAUAUUGAUGUCAUGGAGAGUAUUCAGUUUUUUAAAAAUAGUUUUAUUUGUCAGUUUGUUUAGCUAACAAAGCUUUUAUAUAUAUAUAUAUAUAUAUAUAUAUAUAUAUUUUGUAUUUUCUUUCAAAUAAUAAAAUACUUUUCUUUCUUCUUCUCCAUGUUGAACCAAGUGGUGUUCAAGCUUUGAAGAAUCCAAAACCCUUUGAAGGAUGUUGAAGGCUAGGUUGUGUUUGUUGUUGUUGAGCUGUCUUAGAUAGGAUCUGAGGUAGAUUGUGUUUGUAAUCCACUCUUGAUUUCAUCCAAAGCAUAGGCAUCCUCAAUCUUUUUAAAAGAAAAGUGUUUUUCAAACUAAGUGAAAAACAAGUUGUUGUUUUGUCGAAACAACCGAUUGUUUUAUACUUAGGUGUUUUUAGAAAAGGUUGAAAACUGUUUUUAUGGUUGACUUGCUGUCAAAACCAAAACAACCGAUUGAUUCGUGGAAACAACCGAUUGUUUGUUUUGGUACCAUAAUAGGAAAAAUGGUUUGUGCUUUGACUGAGCUUUAAAUGAUUUUCUAACUGUUUACGCUCCAAUUUUUAAUGCUUUGACCAAUCUUUAAAUGCAAUUAAUAGUUUGUUAAGAUUUGAUAACAAACAACAUCUUUGAAUAUAUACAGAAAAACAAAUUUGAGUUUUUCACUAAUUUUGCUUAAUUGAAAAAGUUGAGAUUGCUUAGACAAAGAGAUUGAUCAAAGAGUGUGAGAUAGGAUUUUCUGCUUGUAUUGAUUUCAGAUUUGCUUCUGUAACAAGUGUAAUCCUUGUAUCUAUUGAAAGAACCUUUUUGUGUUUACUGAGAAGUGUUGUGUGUUCUUGAGGGGAUCAAGAUCAACAUUCUUAGUGUUGGUGUGUUGACCAAGAGAAGUGUGUGUCUUGAGGGGAUCAAGGUCACUUUCUUGAUUGUGUUGUAAGUGAUCUAGGUUUGAUUGCUUAGUGGAAUUCCUCAGUGGUUUCUGAGAAGACUGGAUGUAGCUCUGGGUUUAGAGUGAACUAGUAUAAAUCUCUGUGUGCAUUUUUCUCGAUCCCUUAACUCUUUAAAUUCAGUUUUUAUAUUUGUAAACUGGUAUAAACAACCAAUUGUUUUACAAAACAACCGAUUGUUUUUCUGGUGCUGUGCUUUUAGCUUUGUGUUUUAAAAAACUGAUUUCUUAAUCAUGAUAUUCUCAAAGUAAUUUCAUUCAAGGCUUAAAAGUUUUCGAAAUCCCUCUUUAAACCAUUCACCCCCCCUCUAGUUUAAAGCCAUACUUUCUAACACUCCACACUCUCUCUCUUUCCACCAUAUCAUCUAAUGCAUGAAGAAUGUAUAGGGAUGCUGCCAUUUGUCUUAGAGUCUAACACACACAAGAAGAUAGUGUUUUGCAUCGUGGUGUUGCUCAUGAAUACCAGAAUCCAAUAUGGUAUCAGAGUUGGUUAAGUCUCGCUCUGCUUUCGUUGUAUCUUAUGUUCUUGUUUUUAGUUUCUUGUCCUUUCUCUAUGUUUUCUUUUCUUCUUGUAAUAUUCAUUAUUCGUAAUGGAAACAAACAAUAACAGUUGUCAAGAUCCCACUCAAAGUCUAAACAGUUCUUACUAUCUGUACCCUGGAGAAAAUCUAGAAACGGUUUUAAUCAACCUUUAGCUUGAUGGUAGCAAUUAUCAUGCAUGGAGUAUGACUAUGUGUCGUGCACUUAUUUCAAAGAACAAACACAAGUUCAUAAUGACACUCUUCCUGCUCUAAAACCAAGUACUUCUCUUUAAGAAAUGUGGAAAAUGUGCAAUAUGACGGUAAUAUCAUGGGUAACAUAAACUCUCAAUGCACAAAUUGCGUAAAACAUGAUUUACAUAGAAGAUGCGAGGGAACUAUAGAAAGAUUUGUGUGAAUGUUUUUCAAAGGGAUAUCUUUUCAGAAUUUCAGAUCUUCUACAAGAGAUAUAUUUCACAAGGCAAGGUGAACGAGCAAUAAUUGAAUUCUACAUUGAUUUGUAGACCUUAUGGGAAGAACUUGAAACACUGAGACCAACUCCUGAUUGUGAGUGUAAGAUCAAGUGCAAUUGUGCAUUGACUAAGCAUGGAGUAUGACUAUGUGUCGUGCACUUAUUUCAAAGAACAAACACAAGUUCAUAAUGACACUCUUCCUGCUCUAAAACCAAGUACUUCUCUUUAAGAAAUGUGGAAAAUGUGCAAUAUGACGGUAAUAUCAUGGGUAACAUAAACUCUCAAUGCACAAAUUGCGUAAAACAUGAUUUACAUAGAAGAUGCGAGGGAACUAUAGAAAGAUUUGUGUGAAUGUUUUUCAAAGGGAUAUCUUUUCAGAAUUUCAGAUCUUCUACAAGAGAUAUAUUUCACAAGGCAAGGUGAACGAGCAAUAAUUGAAUUCUACAUUGAUUUGUAGACCUUAUGGGAAGAACUUGAAACACUGAGACCAACUCCUGAUUGUGAGUGUAAGAUCAAGUGCAAUUGUGCAUUGACUAAGCACAUCCAGAGGUAUAAAGAACCUGAGUACACUUUGUGUUUGUUAAAAGGUCUUAACGACACUUAUAUUACUAUUAAGACACAAAUCUUGCUAAUGGAACCUUUACCCAGUAUAAAUCGUAUUUUUGCCCUCAUCAUUCAACAAGAACAACAACUAGCAGGUAAUGUGAUGAUGAAUAACAACAAAGCUUUGUUUAAUUCUUCAGAUAAUCAAGGAAAUUGGAGGACAUUUCAUAGUGAAAGUGGUCAAGGAAGAGGAAAAAACCGGUAUCACAACAAUGGUAAACAAUGCACAUAUUAUUGAACCCCACAAUAGACGAAUGCUACUCCAAGUACGAGUUUCCUCCAUGGUAUAAACAAAAAGGUGAAAGAAAUGAAAGAAUUAUAAACAGUGUUGUCAUGGAUAGGAAUAUUAAAAGUGAAGAAGAACAAGAAGAUAAUCUAGACACACAUAAUGGGAAUUAGUUUACACAAGAUCAAGUAUAUCAAAUCAUGACACUGAUAGUCUAAACAUUAUGAUAAUGUCAUUAAUCCCAUAUCUACAUAUUUAGACUAUGGUAAUCUAACUACUAAGCACCUUAACUAUGUUUUAGCUAUAUCAUAUAAUGAAGAACCACCUAAUUAUAAUGAAGCCAUAAGGAAACCUGAUGGUGUGAAGCCAUGAAGAAGGAAAUUAAAGCCUUGGAAGAAAAUGAAACUUGGAUUUUAACUAAUCUUCCUCAAGGUAAGCAACCCAUUGGAUGUAAACAUGUGUAUAAAAUAAAAUACAAUGUGAAGGGUGACAUAGAAAGUCACAAGGCCAGGCUUGUCACGAAAGGGUAUACUCAGUUAGAAGAAGUAGAUUACCUAGACUCUUUUCCCAUGUGACCAAACUUACAAUCGUAAGAAUGCUCCUAGCCAUUGCACCCACAUAGAAUUGGCACUUGAAACAACUAAAUGUGAACAAUGUGUUUCUGCAUAGAGAAAUGAAUGAGAAAGUUUACAUAUUACCUCCACCGGGAAUUAAGGUUAAAAUCAGACAGGUUUGCAAGCUAGUUAAAUCCUUACAUGGAUUAAAAUAAGCAAGUAGACAAUGAUUUGCUCAACUUACUUAUUAAAAAAUAAUUGGUUUUACUCAAUUUUUUUAUGAUUAUUCGUUAUUCAUAAGAAACACUGAAAAUGCUUUUACUAUAUUAUUGGUAUAUGUAAAAGACAUUAUCCUUGUAGGAAAAUCUAUAUCAAACAUUGAAUGAGUCACACAACACUUAGACAAAGUCUUUAGAGUAAAAGACUUGGGAGAUUUGAAGUUCUUUCUAGGUCUUGAGAUAGCUAUAUCUAAUAAGGGAAUUCAUGUUUCACAGAGAAAGUAUGCUCUAGACAUCAUUAAUAAUGUUGGUCUCCUUGCUGUUAAACCAUCUUUCACGCCUAUGAUGAAGGAUACUUUAAGAAGGGAUUCUCAUAAAGAAUGUUACUGCUUACCAAAGACUCAUUGGGAGGCUAAUAUAUCUUACAAACACCAGACCAAACAUAAGCUAUUGAGUUCAUUUUUUAAGUUAAUUCCUGUGGACACCUACUUCAGAACACCACAAUGUUGCACUGAGUCUUAGGUUAUAUUAAAGGGACUCCUAGAUAAGGGUUUUUUCUUCCCUGCUAAUUAUGAUCAACUUCAACUUAAAGCCUUUUGUGAUUCAGAUUGGGCAAGCUGUCCACAAACUACCGAUUUUUGUGUGUUCCUGGGCUCCUCAUUAAUUAGUUGCAAAUCAAAGAAGCAAUUUGCUAUGUCAUGAUCAUCAUUUGAAGCAGAAUAUCGUGGCUACUCUAACCUGUGAGAUUCAAUGACUGAAAUAUUUGAAUGAUAAAUUAAAGAUAAUGGUUCAGAGCCCAGUUGUUGUCUAUUGUGAUCAUCAAUCCACAAGAUAUAUAUGGCAUAUAGAAAUAAAUUAUCAUGUUGUACGUGAAAAGAUUCUAUUGGUGAUAAAAAAACAUGAAAAGAUUCAAUCAAAGCUCUUCUAAUUGUUACUGAUCUCUUCCAAUCAUCAAACUGCUAACGUUCUCACAAAACCACUUGAACAUAGUGAAUUCGUUUCUGCUAUUUCCAAGCUCGGGUUGAUAAACAUCUACCGCUAAGCUUGAGGGAGAAUAUUAAGUUUAUUAAAUAUUAGUUUUAUUUGUCACUCUCUUUAAUUGUUAGAGCUUUUAUAUAUAUUGUAUUCUCUUUCCUUUUUCAUGUAAUGAUAAAAAAAUACUUUUUUUUUUCUUCUUCUCCAGUCUCUCUCUCUUUCAACCCAAUGAUCUAAUGCAUGAAGAGUGUAUAGGGAUGUUAUCAUUUGUCUUAGAGUCUAACGCACACGAGAAGAUACUUUUGCAUCGUAGUGUUGCUCAUGGAUAUUGUAAUCCAAUAGAAAGUACCAACUACUUUAAUUCAUGCCCUGAUUUUUAAAGUAGUUUCAAAACUUAAAACAUUUAUUGUGUUGAAAAUUAAUUGGUAAUAACUGUUGUGUGGUGUUACCAUGACUUCUUCAAUAGUCCAUUCACUAAAAUCAUUUUCACUUCCUACUACUUCAAUUAAAUAUUAACAAAAAUCAUCAUUAAAAUAAAAUCAUUUUAGCUUUACAUUGUUUCAGUAUAAAAAUCGUAUUUUAUUGACACAACUUACCUAUAUUCAAAAUAAGAAAAAUUUCUAUCCAUUUUUAUAAUAACUCACUCAAAAUUACUGUUAUGUAAAUUUUCCGUAAAAGUAUACCCAAUUUUCAAUGUUUGAUGGAAAUAAGAAAGAAGGAUCCUUUUUUCUGCGGGUUUGAUUAUCACUAUUUCUUCUAUUUUCUACUAUACUAGCUAGGCUAAGUUUUGUGAGAGACACAAUUUAGGUGGUAACAUAGCUACUGAGUGUGACAAGCAUCAUCAAUCAUAGAUUCAGAAAAUGUGCAUCAAAAUCCAAAACCAUCACUUCACUUUCACUGUCACUAUGCUUAUUAUAUGUUUUUGUCCCCCUAUUGCGGCUGCCUUUUUUCACUCACUUCCAUAAUUUCUGGAACUCUUCUCAUUUCAUCUUUUCUACUGUUACCCAAGUGGCUUUUGGUAACACAUAGAAGUAGGGAAAAAAUUUAUGCUGUUAAGACAGAUUUGGUAGAAAAUUUAUGGAUAAAGUAACAGAAAUAAAGAUGUGAGAGUAAUCAAUGGUAUAUAAUUUGUAGGAAUCUUAUUUUAUUGUUGUACAGAAUUUGUUUUUAUAAAGAAGUUAGGAUACCCAGUUAUUUCUUACAUGCUACAGUUUCUGUCGUUUUGUUCCUGUUUAAUUUCUUUUGUUCUUUCUUCUCAUCCUUUUUCCUUUAGAAUUAUAAUUAGUGCAUGCUUCUUCUUUUUGUGUUGAGAAUUCAAAACACAACUGAAUAUUAAAAAGAAGUGUGCACUUGAUCAACUCAAUAUCUAAAGUAUACACAAAGGGUAUAUCACCAUUAUCUUCUCCCUAAGCAUUUUUAAGCCUUUUCGUAAACUUUGUCAUGAGAAUACUAUAUUGAUCCUACAUGAGUGUCAUAAGUUAUUUCCAGAAAGGAAGUAAAAUUAAUUACUGGGGUUUCUAGCAUUAGGAAGAAGAAGAAGAAGAAAAUACACACUAUGAUACCUAUGAUAUUUUAGGUGAUAUUCUUCUAUCCUUUUCAAAGUUUCAUUUUUGUAAUAUACAAUAUGAAAAUGCAAAUUAUUAAAACAAAAAACAAUGCCUUCAUAGAGGAUAUAAUACAAAUCAUGUGCAGGAAUAAGAAAGAUUUGAUGACAUUUGUCCCAUUAAUAAUUUUUCUAACAGUGCAUCAGAAAGUGCAUUUUGAUUCAGAGUUUUUCAACGUACAUGUACUGACAUAUUUUUUGGAAAAAUACAUGUUACAAGCAAAAAAGUGCAGGUGACAUUGAAUUAGCAUAACCACUCCCUUAAAACAUGGGUUAUCAUGCAAUUUCACCUACUCCAUGUUGACUUUAACUUAUUCAUGCUCACAACUUGUGGAGAGAAGAGAAGAAAAGAAAGGAAAGUUCUAGAAAUACUAAGGGUGCUUACUAUUUACCAAAGGAUCCCUUGUCUUGAAAGAACCUUCAAUCUAGAUAGACUAAAAGGACAAACAUUUCCAAUUAUUAUUAUUGCUGUUGCAAUAUCAACUCAUUUUGCCCAAUUAUCUUGCUUUUGAACCCAUGGGAGGAUAUUGGAUAACUCAAACAGUGGGGUUGCUCCUGAAUGAUCCAAGAGCCUUAGCAGCACCUGCUCUCAAGAUGAAUUGGUGGUAGAAGGCUGCAAUGGCUGCUCCAAUGAAUGGUCCAACCCAAAAGAUCCACUGAACAAACAUGAGGAACAACAAUAUAUCAGACAAAAGUGGCAUCUAUUUUAUCAUUUCUUACUUAACAUGGAAAAUUAUUCAUUUUAAUAUUUGAUCAUAGUAUAAAACUAGCAAGUUGUUGAAUAUAGAAAACAGUUACUCACUUGGUCAUCCCAGGCCUUCUCUUUGUUGUAUAUGACAGCAGCUCCAAGACUUCUAGCAGGGUUAAUACCAGUGCCAGUCACUGGGAUGGUUGCCAAGUGAACCAUGAACACAGCAAACCCAAUUGGCAGUGGAGCCAGAACCUUCAAACACAGAACAAAACCACAAUAAGAAACUCAUGAUGUGGUUCAAUUAAAACGGAAAAUGUAGACAAAAAGUUAUUCCAAACAUACACAUCCAAAUUAACUACGAAGGUUUAAAACUGUGGUCACGUUUGUAGUUUCAUCAGGAUUCUUGAUAUUGCAUGGAAUUACUAAUAAACUUGGAUAAUGUUAUAAUUAGAGCAGAUGUGAGGACCAUGGUUUCUUUACUUUAUUAAUUUGGAUAAUUUGAAAAGGUGUUUGGGGAAACCUAAAGCUGAUAAUGACAAAUGGGAAUGAUGAUGGAAAGUCUCACUAGAUUUCCCAGCUUUGGCAAAGUGACGUUUAGCAUGAAUGAUACUGUCAUGCCAUGCAUACUUUAAUUUUAGGCCCUAAAGUUCCACAUUAACAAAGAUACAUUAUGCUUCCAAGACAAAAAAACAUGCAUGACACUCCAGAAGAAUCCACUUUUCUAAAAAGAAGAAAGCAAUCAGAUAAGAUUGGUGUGAUAAGGCUAUGAAAAUCAAAUACCAUCAUAGAAUUAUGUGGUAAUGGCCUAAUAGGCCAAUGUUACUCAAGCAUAUGGUAACCUUUAAUUUCAGUAAAAGCCAUCACUAUUUGGUAAUUUUGCCCUCAGAAAAUAUACACACAGGAAAAGGCUACCCACUUUCUUGUUUUGAGGACUAGACAAUCAAACAAAGUAGCAGAAAGAAAGAAAAGUUCAGCAAGAAAAGUGGAAUUAUAAAUUGUGAAUGAAGCCUCCAGACAAAGUAGUGAAAAUGAUUUAGAUUCUCAUAUCAAAUGGAAAUGUUCCUAUAAUUUUAUUAAAAAGUAAAAUUUCUACAACUACUACUACUAUUAUUAAUACAAAUAAUAAGCAUACAUGCUAACUGUGUCAAAACUUAUUAUGAAAAUGGAAACUUCAUGAUGGCACAGGCUGUAAACUUUAUCAUUUCAAACGGGAAAAUUAGUGAAUGGCAGCAUGUACAAAUUUUGGAAAUGGAGUAGAAUUCUUUUUAAAAUAAUUGUGAAGUUCACUGCAUUAAGAAUAUCCUAUUGGUAUGAAUCUUGGUAGCCGUUUCAAGAACUACAACAAAUUAUCCAUGAAAACACUACAAGUUUAUCAAAGCUUCUUUAACUACUUUAGAUGCUUGAAGUUGAGAUUAUGUUAAUAACUAAGUCAGUUCCAUUCAACUUUUUUCUUUAUCAUGCCAGUCAAAUAAUUUGAAGGAACUUUAAGAUUCUAUUCCUGAAAGAACUAAGAGGGAAUCCCUGCUUGCCUAAAAGCAGAGUAUGUUAACAAUAUGACAGGAUUACAAUUCAAUCAUAAUUGAACACAUACCGGGACAUGAGAAUCUCUAGCAUUCCUCUUGGGGUCGGUAGCAGAGAAGACUGUGUACACCAAAACGAAGGUUCCAAUGAUCUCAGCACCCAAUCCAACACCUGUGCUGUACCCAUCACUCAGCUCAUUGGCCCCACCACCAUACUUGUUGUAGUAAGCCUUUUGGAAGGCCUUAACCAACCCAACUCCACAUAUGGCCCCCAAGCACUGAGCCACCAUGUACAUUAUAGCCCUUAUCAAAGACACCUUCCGAGCCAAGAAGAGUCCAAAAGUCACUGCAGGGUUUAUGUGACCUCCUACAUUCGAUACAAAAAUCAAGGUUUUCAGAAUAUUAUGUAACAAAAAUUUGCUACCAAAUCAUGCUUAGUUAUUUACUUUCACCCAAGACAACAUGCACAAAGCACAAGCAUCUUAGUUUGAAGGCUAAGAAACUUGAGAGAAGGGGAAUUACUAAACAAGAAAGACCAUUUGAUAAGCACUCAACCAAAACAUGCUUGCUAUUUGGCUUGAUGGGGGUAUGCUCAGAGCAAGUUUUUUAAAAACAAAACAGUACCCAACUGCGAUUUUGGCCACAAUGUCAAGAAUAUUUUGGUCUCUGCAACUACAAUUGUGAUUGCAUCAGUCAUACCUGUUCGCAACUUCCUAUAAUAUCAAGAAUUGCAACUAAGGUGUGACCAUGUAACCACAGUUUAAAACCUUGAAUUAGAACUCAAAGAUAGCAACUUUCCCUCUUGGGAUGCUAAGAAACCAAAAGAUGAAAAGGAAAACAAAAACCAUUCAAAAAUAUUGUAAGGUAUGAUGCAUAAGAAACAAACAACAAAAGAGACUAAAGUCCAUGCAAGCGAAUGAAAAAGGUAGGUGUGAGAUUGAAAAGUGAAGGACACCUGAGAUUCCAGCAGUGCAGUAAACAAGGAUGAAGAUCAUGCCACCGAAGGCCCAAGCAAUGCCAAGAAUGCCAACCCCACCACAGAGAUCACCCCCAGCUUUGACAUCACUCUGGCUCUUGUAACCAAUGACGGUGAGCACUGUGAUGUAAAGGAAGAGCAGUGUGGCAAUGAACUCAGCAAUCAAGGCCCUGUAGAAGGACCACUGUGUGAGUUCCUGAGCAUCAAUCAAGGGUGCUGGAGGAGGGUCAUGGUAGUCCUUUGCAGAGAAGGAACCACCCUCAGCAUCAUGCUUAGCCAUUGC